rnacentral:lncRNA from 1 species
UGAGUUUAUCAUAUGGAACAAGUGUAGCCCGGAGGUGGAUUUUUGCCACAGGUAAGGAGAAGCUGAAGAGCAACAGGGACAUAAAGAUUGAGGUCAAGAGCUUUGAGCUUGAGGGUAGUGCAGAGACAAGCCGCGGCUUCGACUUCAACGAGGCCUUUAAGUAACGGACAACAUUUGUUAACUGCUGGAUCCCCAAGCCCUAUCUUUACUAAACCUCCCAACAAGUCGACGCAAGCACCUAACUUCAGCGUGUCUAUUGGACAUGUCGCCUUCCCGCCCCCUGAUGGUGGCUUUACGCUCCCUGGCGGUGGAGGACAGUCCUUCCCUCCUGUGGCUGGUGGGGUUGUUCCCGGUGGAAGAAUAGGACCUACAAUUGGCAAAGGCGGCAAUGGCAGAUUGGGACCUACCACUGGAGGUAUGGGUAGCCCUGAAAUCGGAGGAAGGGGUAGCUUAGGGACGGUCACUGGAGGAACGGGUAGCUUAGGUACAGUUACCGGGGGAACGGGUAGCUUAGGGACUGUCACUGGAGGAACGGGUAGCUUGGGGACGGUCACUGGAGGAACGGGUAGCUUGGGGACGGUCACAGGAGGAACGGGUAGCUUAGGUACAGUCACUGGUGGAACGGGUAGCUUAGGGAUGGUCACAGGAGGAACGGGUAGCUUAGGGACGGUCACCGGAGGGACUGGUAGCUUAGGGACGGUCACCGGAGGAACUGGUAGCUUAGGGACGGUCACCGGAGGAACUGGUAGCUUAGGGGCUUUAGGGGAGUGCUUUCCGCCCUUCCGUGGGUUGCAAGAGCCGCAUGCGAGAGAAUGUUGGGGGAGAUAGAUAAUGCAAAUGAGGAAGAGGCAAAGAGAGAGAGAUGAGAGUUUGGAGGAGUCCAUGUUGAGUAGAGUGGAUGGUGUAACUAUACGAAAGAGUAUAUGAAUAUAUAGAGGGAAAAUGAGAAGAAGAAUUCACGUGAAGAUGGGGGCUACUUCUGCAAUAAGAAGAGACGCCCCAAAAUAAGCAUGGUUGGCAAUUAUCAUAAGAAUACAAGAUUUCCUUGAUGACCCAUCGCUAUAUAUCAUCACAUGUCGACCACACUUUUUUCACUUUUUUUUUUCUAAGUGCCUCUUGUUCUUGGGUUAACUACAACUUUUAACAACGUGUAACUUCAGUUUCAACAGUACAGUACAUUUAACUUGUAGGAAUUGUAAUGAAUCAACUUAGCGAGACUAGGUCAUUAUGAGAUAUCAUCAAUACUAAAUAACAUUUUGAUGAUGUAAACACUCUAGGAAAAGCAGAUAAUAUAGUAUCAUAUGGUUUUCGCUUUAGUGUGUGGCUUCAUAAGCAUCUCCAUGCAUGAGUCGACUGCUAAGGAACAUAUAGAUCUGCACCAUAGUGAAGACGGCUUAGUCUAUUCAAAACACUAAUGUUGUGCCUUUCGAGGACCUCCCGAGACUCGAAUUCGAAUGCACUCUCCAAAGGUAUUAUGUUAGGGAAAAAACCUUAUUAAACCAAAUAUGUUACUGUUUAACCCAUACACGAAAAUUAGAUAUAUAAAUGUUGAACAAAUAGCAUAUAGUUAUAUCCAAUAUAUACGUACAUGAGAGGUAAAGAAGACAGCAAGACUGACAUGUGAAAUUCGGGAUACACUUUUGUUGUUUGGUGAUUUUGUUACGUAGUGUCAUUAAAGAAACGAUCAUGUGUGCGUGGACCAUCUUCUUCUUUUUACCGCUCAUUUCCCUUUUUACCAUAUCUACUACAAAAGAGUCCGAACUGACCAUUUAAUGAACGAGUACCAUUCAAUUCAUAAACUCCCCGUAUCAAUCUAACUGACACUGUAAAAGUUAUAAUGUUAAUAUAUAAAAAUAAUAUGGUUAUUUAGCAUGAAUAAUAACUUUUUAUAAUUGAGAGUAUGUCUAGCUAACAUUGGUGAUUGGUGCUUACAUAAAUCAUAUUUUUCAAACCACUUAACAAGAACUUUACAUAUUCAAUGAUAAACGAAUCACAUUUAUACAAUAUACCAUUCAAAAAUAAUAUUGUAAGAUGAUUUGAAAUUAAACGAUUGUAAUAUAUAAUGUGUUAAAAGUAAUGUAUUAUAGAUAUCUUGUAAUUAUUUAAAGGGUUUUGUGCAAAAAAAAAAACCACUAACUCAUACAUUUUUCCAAUUUACUAUCCAGCUCUAAUAAAUGCACAUUAAUCCUAUGAAUCUAAAAUAAUACGCAUUGUAACCCUUUUUGACCAUUUUUUGCUACCAUCAAUUUUGUAAAAUAUUGAUAUAUAAUAUGUUAAAUCAAAGCUCUCGCGACCAAGAGUUCAACUCUACCUUUAAAAAUUUUAAAAUGUAAUGUAUGUAACCGUAAAAACGCUUGUAAUAUGCAUAUGAAAUUUAUAUUACAUAUUAUGUUAAACUUCAUAAGAUUAAUCUGCAUUUGUUGGUAGUGCAUUUGUUAGAGGUGGAAGGUAAUGUUGCAAAAAUAGAUGAGUUAAAAGAUUUCUUUUUGCACAAAACCCUUUAUUUAAACUACUAACAAUAUAAUAUAUAAAUAAUUUAAAACAUAUAUCUCUAUAAUUCAUGAAGUAAUAAUGGUGUACCCUAUCCUUACCAACGAAUAAUAAAGAAAUGAUAUUAACUCUGAUUCAAAAGCUAUAUAUAAGAUAUUCUUUUUUUUUCCUCGGGAGGGAUACGAAUCCGGUAACAUGAAUCAGUGUCCAAUAAGAGCCAGUGGUCGUAAAUUCCAAAUGACAGAUGGAUGACUCAUUUUAAUUCGUAACUUUUGUCAGCUGCGAUAUAUGCUAAUGAAACCUGAGGUGCUAGAUUUUGAUUUUAAUGGCUUUAGAUUCUUACUCAACACUCAAUGGCCCACUCGUUAAUCUCUUACCUUCUAAAGUGAGUUAUGAUCCACUGCUUCUUUCUUCUUGUAGAUAGAUGGACCUGUUUUUUUUAGGUUGUGAUUUGUGGACAUUAAUCAACAACCCAUGUUUAUACGUGAUAAUGUCUGGAGCUAUAUGUAAAGGCGAUAUGGAGGACAACAUUCCUCUAUUCUAACUUUAAAAGCCAUGUAGUUAGGGCUGGACACCAAUAUUCUUUUUUUUUUUGCUAAAUUGUAAAUAUCAUUUUGAUGAAAAAUCAGGUUUUACAACAGUUGUAUAACCUAAAACAUUUGAACUCUUUGGCAAAAAAGAAUAAAAAAACGAAGAGCCAAUCGAGAGCUGCAUAGAACUCGGUAGUUUCAUAGCAGCCACAACGCUAUUAACUUGCGAAAAAGGAGUCUGUUUCUUCUUGAGGUGAUAACGUUUUUGAUUUUGCGGUUGAUGCACUUGAAUAUAGAAUGCGGAGAGAGGGAAGUAGCGUUGUGCAGGACAUUGUUAGGCUGCUUCAAGAUGUGGAAGACCUUAGACUGAACGACAAUAAUUUUAAGAACUGAUGAAGCCAAUAUUCAUCAUUUUCAAACAAAAAAUAUCUUUUGUUUGACACCAAUAUCCUUGACCAGCUUCAAACAAAGGAUAUACAUCAUUUUUAAGUCGGGUAAGGCAAAUGAGUAUAAGGAUUCUCAUUACACAUCUGGUUGCCAAAAACUUUUAGUCAAAUACUAGUUACAAUCUCAGUUUUUUACCCCAAACUUUUUGCCACUUAAAAAACUAGGGGUGGGCAUUCGGGUAAGCGGGUCGGGUUCGGGUUCGGGUAAAACCCGAUCAGGUAUAAAGAAGUUUAGGAUCUAAUAGGGUAAAUCUAAAAUAUCGGUUCGGUUUCGAUUCGGGUCCAACCGGGUUCGGAUAUAGAUUUGUGGCCUUUUUUUAUCCAGAUUUUUCGGGUAAAAUUUUGGAUUUCGGAUAAAAUUUAGAUUUUUGAAUAAAAUAUUUGGGUAUUUUCGGGUUCGAGUUUGUUUUUUCGGGUAGAGAAAUUUAGGAUCCAGUAAAGUACAUCUUCGGAUUUGGAUUAAGUUUCAGCUCUAAUUUUUCGAGUUAGUUUCGGUUCGGAUAAUCGGUUCUGGUUUUUUGGCCCGGCUCUAUAGAAAACCAUCAAUAAAUAUUUUAAUCCUAUUUCUGCCUCAUUACUCGAGAAAAUAUUCGACCCGUUUUAUUACUUGAUAAAUUUACAACUAUAUAUUUAUGUAAUCUAUUUCAUAUUAGUAAAAUAUAUUAAAUUUGUUAUUAAAACCAAAUAUCUUUUGAGAUUAGGGCAAUCAAAAGUUAAGGUCAAGCAAAUGUCUCCUUUCUAAAUGUUUUUGUGGGUAACGGUAAAGGACAAAUAUACAGCCCAUGCCCAGACCUACAAGUAGCGACUCCAUUACUACACAGUAAGAUUUUUAUUAAUAAAAAUGUGCAUGGUUUCAUUUAAAAGUCAUUGCUAACACUUCACUUUACAGUAAUAUUCAAUUUCAUACCUUUAAACGUUAAUCAGAAUCGCCAAUUGGAAGCCAGUCACUGGAAUCACCUUCCGAAUCCUUGCUAUGUCCAACUUGGCUCUUGCUGAGCUGAACCCAGCUUGACCCGCUUGCGUUUGAUGCUGGUCUUUUCAGUGUACUCCUGUUGGGACUUGGCUUCUCCGAGAGAUCAUCGACAUCUAAAUCACUAAAGGAGAUUACCUCUUCAUCUCUGAAACUCCUCCGUUGUUCUUCAGAUGACUCAUCACUUAUCUCCCUUUGCUCAAUUUUUAGAGUCUCUAUCUUGUCAAUGACUCCCUCAACGGUUUCUGUUUCCCUACUGCUACCUUCUUCAGGAGUUUCGUGACCAGUAGUGCUCUUGCUUGACCCUGUCUCUUUCUUUUGCAGCUUUAGUAAAAGUUGAUCCCUUGUUUCAAAUACCUGUGCCGCACAAUAUAGUUAUUAAAGUUUCAGAAAUAGGUACAAUAGUAACUUGGGAAAAAAUGCAGAGCAUAAAAGAUAUAAAACAAUCCAAUUUUAAAAGCAUCAGGCAAAAAUACAUUUUUUCCUGAGGCUAUACUUGUUCUUAUUGCAAUCGGUUGAAGGGGUCAUUAUAGCAUAAACGUUUACGAUUUUAAUAAUAUUGGAUCAAUACUGACAUUUCAGAAGAAUGUAUUUCCAGUAUACAGUCUUACCUUGCAUGUUGCUAAGAGUUCAAAAUCAUGCCCAUUCAGUCUCGGCAUCAGCAAAAUAAAAUAAAUCAGCCAGAAGUGUUCAUCAUCCAUGUAACUACUAACUUGAUUCUUCACAGCUACAAGGCCAGGAACCAAAUCUUCAAUGGCUGAUGCAUGUGCCCUUUGAGCCUCAGACAGUUCAAAUUCUGCAAUGUGGACAUGAAAAGUUGGAGAAAAACUUCAGCAUAAUUCAGUAGGUAAAAUUGAUGUAAACCACCAAUGCUUUUUAUCAGGAAGUGUUUCGACAACAUUUUCAAGCAAACCAAGCCUAUAUACAAAAGGUUGUACAGGAUGACGAUAUGCUUCGCAAUAAAAUAAAUAAAAAGAUUUAAGUGGCAUAUGGAUUGAACUAUAUAUAUAUAUAUAUAUAUAUAUAUAUAUCCCAAGAAGAGACUGCAGACCCCGUCAAGUUUAUUCGUAAUUCCUGGAGAUCUAUCUAAAGAACAGGGACUUCAAAAAAAAAAAUUAACUGCAGAAACAAUCAAUCUUGUCCAAACAGGUCUAGAAUAAAACACAUCAAGAGUUAAAGACUGAAGCAUAAUCAUCUUUGGCGACUGAAAACAAGUCAACUAUAUUUCCAAGAACAAUCAUGUUUAUUCCUGCAUGGCUGCAAGUUCGUCGACAAUAUCUUCAAGGUAUGAAAAAUGUGAUCUACAGAGAGUAAUGGGACCCCGAGAUCCUAAAGACCUGAGCUUGAAGAAAUAUAUCCCAAGAGGAGAUGGCAGGACCGGUCUAACCUAAUCUAAAAUACUAGGAAAUCUCUCUAAAGAACACCAGAGGCUACAAGCAAUCAACUGUACAAACAAAAAAAAUAUUUUCCUAAUAAAUCACAGUAAGAAAAUCAUAACUAAACAUAGAUAGUUAGAAACCACCAAUGCGGUGCUUCGACUAUACUUUCAAACUAACAAAGCCUAUAUACUGGGAACAAAAAUAUGCUUGAAGAAAUAUGUCCAAAUAAGCUUAAUCUGUAACCCUAGUGAUCCCACUAGAAAGCCAAUCAACUGUAGAAGCAAUCAAUCUUUUCCAAAUAAAACCUAUUUUAGUAACAAUUAUGUUUGCCUACUGGGAAAAAAAAAAGUCAAUGCAGAGCUUAAGACUAUUGAGAAUCAAGCUUUAUGAUUCCUCUAUUGACUAUACAGGAGCAUUACCAGUAUCGAGUGACAAUGGAAAAUCUGUCCAACAACCAGGUUUCGUCGAGAUUUUAACAGCGAAAUCGACUACUUCUUCAGAGAUUCCAGGAACUUGAUCGUUCAACGGAGAUCUUCUACUACUUUCUCUAUCUCUUAGAUUACUAGGAAAUUGGAGUAAAUUAGAUGCGAAAUUGGAGAAAUUUCCACGAAUCUCGGCUAGAUCGUUGCGGAUCCCGAGAAGACCUAGCUGAGUUGGUGAAUUAUCAGAGGAGAGUCGGCGUUCGUUUACAGGUGGAGAAGGAGGCGGUGCCAGGAAAGCUGCGACGCCACGGAGUAAGGAAGAUAAAUCUUCUUUGACACCGCCAUGAGUUGUGGAAGGAUCGGGAUCGGGAUCGUGAUCGUCAUCGCCGCGAGAUUUGAAGAGCCAAGACAUGGUUUUUGAGUGAGAGAGGUUGGAUUUGGGGUUUUCAGUUUUUUUUGCACGGGGUUACGAAUAGCAAGAGAGAAGAAACGGUACGUUUUAAUACCUUUCCAAAACGCACCGUUUGUUGUUUGUUCGUUUUGAUACCUUCCCAAACGUGAAAUAAACGAACAAUAAUUAUACAAAAUAAACGGAAACAAAACCUACUUUUUAAAACGGGAAAAUAUCGUUUUAUACGUGAUGUUUUUAAGAAUGGUCAUUUUAUAUGUAAACUUUUAGAUCGAUCAAAUAAAAUAUGAUAAAAAUGUUGAUCCGCUAUUUAAACAAAACAUAAAGUUUGCCUGGCCAAAAUUUCCGAAAUGUUAACUUGUAUUAACGGAUCUGAUAACCCUCGUUAGCAGACGUUAGUCGUCUUCCGUUAAUACCAAACGAUUUUUUGUGAUGAGUACAAACCUUAAAAUUCCCAAAUCGAUUUUUCAUUCCCUAAUUCUUCAUAAUCCCCAAAAUUUGAACUAUUCUCGAUAUAUUUUUUUUGAGCUCAAAAUCUCCAUUUUGUGUAGAUAUGAGUUUAAAAAAUUUGAGUGUUCAAGAAGGAGGAAGUGGGAACCUUGGGUUUCCUUCAAAGUGUCAUUGGGGGAGAGAUUUCAUCAUCUAUAUAUCAAGCUCGACGAAGAACCCAAGAAGAUCCUUCUUCUGUUGUCCAACAUAUCAAGAUGUAAGUAGAUUUGAAUUUGUUUUUUUUGGUGUUUGAUCGGUAAAAAGUUGUCGUUGUAAAUGCAGGACCAUUUGUUUAAGUGAGUCGAAGAUUGUGUGUAUGAAGAGGUUGUAGAUGCAAUACUGAUAAUCUCUAUGAUUGAUAGCUAGAUAAACAAUGUCAAAUUUCAGGUUGUAGUCGAGAUUGCAGAAUUAAAGGUUUUGAUCCAAGAAUUGAAGGAAGAUGAAAUGUGGAGCAAAAUGGAAUUGAAGAUAUGGAAAUCGAUGACCAAAUUGUGCUUGGUGUGCCUUUGUAUAACAGUCAUUGCAAUUAUGAUCAUAAUGUUCUAUAAGACCAAAAACCAUAAGCUUGUUCUUGGUUACUAGUGUUUUGUGUUUGUAAUAAAAUGUUUUUAUGGUACUGAAAUGUUUGUUUGGCAAUGAUAAUCAGUCCUAGUGUUUUGUCUUAGUGUUGUGAUUGUAAUGAAAUGCUACUAGAUGCUUGUUUAACAAUGAGAAUCACCAAAAUGAAACUCAUUCAUACAUUAUAAAACUUGUGUCACAAAGACAAGUCGAAACCACAAAAUGAAAUCGAUACUAAGCUUAUGUCAUAAAGACAAAUCCAUUAUGUCAACCACCAAAAAUAAACUUAUGAGAAAGCUUAAGUUCAAACAACAACAAAAAGAAACUUGUGACUAAUCUUGUCUUGAACACUCAAACCAUGAUGCAAAUCCACCAAGUCCUUGUGGUUGAGCAUGUGGCUCAGUUUGUGCUUGUGCUUGUGGUUCUGUUUGGGAUUGUACUUGUGAUGCUCCACCUGUCUCCCUUGGUCUUUCUGAUGUUCCGCCUGUUGCCCUUGGUCCUUGUGAUCGAAUAUGAGAUUGUGAUCCUUGAUGAGGUUGUGAUCCGUGUAUUUGCUCUUGCGAUUCGAGCACUUGAGAUCGUGAUCCUUAAUGAGAUUGUGAACUUUGAUGAGGUUGUGAUCUUAGCACUUGUGAUUCCUCCUAAGUUAAAUAUGACAGUCUGAACAGUUGCAUGAUUAAGUGAGUUGUAAAACAUAUAAAAAAAAACAAGAAUACAAACCUGAUUUAUUCGUGGAUGACCUCUUGGUCUCUUUGGUGGAAUCAGAAUAGUGGCAUUUUUGCAGCUUUGCUUGUUUGCCCUUGUUGAAGGCAGUUAGAGCAUGUCAUGAUUCUCUUUUGCAGUGGCAUCUUGUUCUUAUUUGAAGAAGAAGAAGUCUCAUUUCUUCCUUUUCUCCUAACAUAAUUACUCGGUCUUCCAACAUUUCCUUUUGUCCAUGGUGGUGGCAAAACAGGGAGCCUAUUGGUUUUAGGCCACAAUGGCAUACCUUGGACAAGGCUAAUACCAUCUUUAUAAGUUUUUCGCCAGAUUACCUUUGUGUAAAACUUGCUCACAUAGUCUGCAACUGUUUCUCUUCUUCCUAUUAUCACAGGUGUCGCAUAAAUACAUGGGAUCCCCACCAUCUACCACUUCCUGCGACCACAAGUUCUCUUCUCCGUAUCAACAUAGUAGCUAACACCAUUCACAUCAAUUUGAUACAAAUUGUUUCUGGACAUAUAUCUCUCGCAAUUUCUAACCCCAACUAUCAUUUUCUCAAUCUCAAGAUGGGCUCUCUUUGUGAACCUUGUCUUCAAUUUGUCAGCAAUGAUAUACGUCUUCGUAGUUAUGACCAUGCAUUACCUCUGGAUGUACUCUAGCUAAUCCAACAAAGGCUUUCUCCUAGCCUGUUUAAUAGUCUUAUUAAAAGACUCACACUGAUUAUUGAGGCUGUCAUUGCAACGUGUCCAAUUCUAAAGAAGGCUCUCGACCAUGUCAUUGGACUAGUAAGUUGCGAGUGGCAUGCGCAUGAGGAUUGUAUCUCUUUAGCUCUUCCAUAUUAUUCAUGAACACUUCUUCAGUGUAGCUUCAAAUUGUUUUUCAAAGAGACAUUGUAGUUCUAUCUCAUGGUUGUCUCUCUUCCAAUUGUCCAUUAUAUGCCUUGAAUAUUGUCGAUGCUCAACUUCUGGAAGUAUGGUAUUGAUAGCUUUGACUAGACCCUGUAAAAUAACACAAAAACAUAAGCGUAAACCCUUCAUAAAAGACAUUAAACUGAAGCAAAAGAUGAUAAAAUUAACUGAUUAUUUAUCUGAAAUGAUAACUAGAUGUUGCAUUUCACAGUCCCAAACUAGUAGAGAGCUGUCUCAAAAACCAGUCCCAAUUAUCAUUGUUUUCUAUCUCAACAACUGCCCAAGCUAUAGGAACAAUCCUCUUAUCUCCAUCUCUUCCAACUACAGCUAAAAGGUGACCUUUUACAUCCCAUUUUAGAAAACCCAUCUAUUCCUAUCACAGGUCUACAAGUUCGCUUCCAAGAAUCCUUUUGAGAUUUAAAGCAGAUAUAGCACCAGAGAAAAGAAUCCUUUUGUGAUAUAAAGCAGCUAUAGCAUCAGAGAAACCUUUGCUUGCUUCCAAUAAAAAGCCCUACUGUUGUCUCUAUCUCAAACUCUGUCUCUGGGUUCUACUUUAAAACCUCCGCUUGAUAAUCUCAUAUUCUUGAAAAGUGAUCAUUAUGAGUAGCAUGUCAUGCUUUCAACACUUUGGUCUUGGCCUUUGCACAUUGGUCUGGAGUCACAUCCAAAUUGAAUUCUCUCUGAAUCUCAACAACCAUCUCGUUCUUUGAAAUAUUUGGAUUCACUCUCAGCCUUUCAUCAAACAAAAGUGCAAUGGAAGACCGCUUCAACAUCUUUGAAUAUCCUGACCUAACACAAGUAUGCAUAUAAAAUCUUACUUGCAUCUUAUGUUUUGUCUUCUCAUACGAACAAUAUACUUUCCAACCACAUUUAACACCAUCAACACCAAUUUAUGACCACUUCGCAGCAACAACCAUAGAUUCAGACCCAUAAAGAGAAAUGGUAUACCAUGUCUUUAAAGAGUACAUCAAAAGAACACGCUUGAAGUCGUGUUUAUAUCCUCUUCACCGCGUAAACCACCAUUAUAAUCGUUAUCUCCACCACCAACCACAUCAUCAACGACAUUGCAGUCUUCAUCACCAUACACGGCGCAGUCUUCUUCAUUUUUCAGGGUCAGGCUCAAAUGUAGGUUCUUCAUCCUCCUCUUUUUAAUGUCUGACUCUUCUUCGUUUUUGUUUUCAAAGCCGCUUUGAAACUCGAGCUUUAACUACGAUAGAAGACUCUACUACGCCUACAGCCGGCAGAGCUAGAACUCCGUUAUCAAACUCUAAAACUGCUUCCGCUGGUGGAGCUCGAACAACAUCUUUGGUGUCAUCUUCGCCUCGUGGUGGAGCUUCAUCAUUGUCUAAUUUGCCUUCCAUUGAUACAAUCUAGGACUCCAAGGAUACAAAUUCAAGAUGAAAUCAAAUCAAAAUCGCGAUUUCGCCAAAGUAAGAAUUAGGGAUUUGGUUUUUGGAAAUUAGGGAUUUUGAAAUCAAAAUGGGAAUUUCUGUUUCAGUUUAUGAAACGACAUUGUUUUAGGCAUUAACAGAAAAAAUUAACGUCUGCUUACAGGGGUUAUCGGAUCUGUUAAUGCAAGUUAACGUCUCGGGGAUUUUGGUCAGGUCAACUUUAUGUUUUGUGUUAAAUGGCGGGUCAACGUCUUUAUCAUGUUUUAUUUGGCCGACCUAAAAGUUCACGUAUAAAAUGGCCACUUUUGAAAGUUCACGUAUAAAACGACAUUUUUCCCUUUUCAAAAACCUAAUUUAUUUCGCAUAAUUAUUGUUCGUUUUGAAAAGUAGGUUUUGAUUUAAUAUUAAAUUUAUUCGGGGAAAAAGAAUUAUACAUUUACAAGUAGGAAAAAUGGGUAAAAAAAACCUCACCUUUCCCAAAUACAUUUAAAAAAACCUCAACUUUUUGUAGGUUUUUAAACCCUCACCUUUUCAAAAAUGGUAAAAUAACAAUUAGCAUUAUUAAACCAAAUAAAUACAAAUUAAAUACUAAAUAAACUAUUAUAUUAAGACAUAAAAAACAACAUAAUUUAUAAUCUAUCUUUUCCAAAUUUGAGUUUAGGAUUUUUUUUCUUCUAGAAUUUAGUUGUUUUUUGUGAUAUAAAAAAUAAGUUUCAUUGCCAUUAGAAAUUGGUAUGUAAACUAAAACAAUUUAUAACAUAGCACAUUUUAUUUUAUUUGUGUUCAACUAUGUUCUAACCUUUGAAGUUUUGGAUUUAAAAUGGAUAAAAUUUAUUAACACAAAUUUGAUCUAAACUUGAGUGACCUAAUAUUUGUUCUAAACUUGUGUGAUCAAAACUUUAUUCUAAACUUAAGUGUCCAAACCAAAUAAAAUUUUAUUAAAUAUAUUUUAUAUUUAGUUAUUACAAAAUUAGUUUAGUUUUACGUUGAUGAAUUUCUUGAACUCAACCAAAUUAAUCUUGUUUCAGUUCACUGCAUAUGUAGAAGAAUAUAUAUCUAUAUAUAUAUACAUAUAUCAUACCUAAAAUAAAAUAAUUAUUUUUAUCCAAAAUUUAAUUAAACUUACACUCGAAACAAAAUAAAUAAACUUUGAAUAGACUUUGGAUAUGUUAUCUUCAGUAUGAAACCAAUUGUCUGAACCAAAUUUAAAUUGUUUUCACAUAAAACAUUUUACUAGAAGAAAAUAUUUAAGAGCUAUGUCUUUGGUUAGAUUAGAAUCGACAUAUUUCGUUUUCAAGAUUGUUUAGUGGUAGUUUGUUGUUUUGCGUCAAGUUUUUUUUAAUGUUUUCUUUUCCUAUUUUUGUCGGGUUCAUCUCUUGCUUUUGGACCGGUCAAUCUAUAACUUUUCACCUUUAUAAUAAUAGGUAAAGCGGUUGUGUGACUCUUUCAUUUUCCUCUACUCAAGUUUAAGACUAAAUCUGGUCAAAUUUUUAUUAGACUAGUUAUGAUGGUUUGUUAUAAACCAUUUCACAACUGUUGAAAAAAUUAUUUCCACUACAAUGGUUUAUUGUAAUCGAAAAGUAAGUGAGAUGGCAAAUUUAUCAACACUCAUGAGAGUAGAAGAAAGAAGAUAAGUGUGACAAGUGUUAUAUUUUGAUUGGUUGCUUUUUUUUUUUGGACAAAAGCUUGUUUUUAUUCAAUUAAGAGAGAAACAAGUACAAAGGAACAAGGAUUCUAAGAUCCCAAAGUUUAAAGGACAACAAAGGUAGGCAUUCCCAACACCAUAAGAAGAAAAGCUAACACACAAAUAAGGUACAUCAACAAUGGUUCCAUGAGAGCUAUAAUCCAAACACUUGAAGGGAAUUUGUUACUUUUAAGAUCAAGGAUUGUUGACAAAUCUUCCACGAACAAAGUAGUGGAUGAGAGUAUGGUUACUGUCAAAAGACUUAGUAACGUUAACAAGGGCGCCAAAGACAUGAAUCUCGUCGGGACGAGAAGUACUACACCAAGUAGUGCUUUUGCAAAGGUUCGAACAAGGUUUUGGUAAAGGAAGGAGGAUCGUCGAGGCUUAGAAAGAUUGAUGCGAGACCGUAACAGAACAGGUGGGUCCUCUCUCCCAAGAAGACCAAGGAGAUUAAGGAAUUCCACACAAAGCUUGUAGUCGGUUUGCCACAUGAAGAAAAGGCCAGACAUGAGGAAAUUGAGUAGAUAUCACUUUGAGGCACUAGUCAAUAGGGAGGGAUCUCUCACAAGAGAAUUGAGAAGUUCAUGUUGAAGCUUGAUCCAAACCCGGGGAGUAAUGGUGAAUGGGAGGUUCUUGAAGUUGGUCGAUAUAGUUGUCAGUAUGAAAUACUUUGAUAGAGAGUUUUGGUGACUAGCGUCACAUCUCCGACAGAUUGGACUAAGAAACACUAGACCAUGAAUCUUCAAAACGGAAUCAUAAAACAUUGCCCUAGCUAAACCUAGCACCAAGGUUCUCAGAUAAUAUUUGUAGGAGCAUAUCAACGAGGGUGAUUCGUCAUUCAAGUGGUGUCCCUAACCCCUCAAAAUAAAGAAACGAUGUCUACAUUGGGAUAGACUCGGCAAAUUGCAGAUGGAGGAAUACCUGGAUUUUUGUGAUAAUAGGUUUGGGUCGCAAUUUAUGGGCUUGGGCCGCGAGGGAAAUGGGCCAACAUUGGAGACAGGGCCCAUCAAAGAAAACCCUCGAUUCCAGAUUGUUGGGCAAGGAGCGUUGGGAGUGCGGCGGCUACGGUAGAGAGGUACGAAUUGCACAAUUGAAGCAGACGUCUCUGAUGUAAAUAGAGUUAGGGUGAACAAGCUGCAUGACGGGUCCGGCGCUGAGGCUAUAACAACGGCUAAUGGUUUGGCAAAAGAACGUCGGAGAAGCCUUAGGGAGCCGAAAGGUCCCGCAGAUCUAGUAACGAUGAGGAGGCGGAGACAAGGCUCAGGUUGGAAGGAUUGGUCGCCUAUGAAAUUGAAAGCUUCACAAACUGUUUUCUUUGAUUCGCAAGGUUUGGACAGAGAGUGUAGCUUGCUCGGAGGCCACAUUUUGCCUAUGUCGGAGAAUACUGCUUCAAAGAAGAUUCAACAGCAAAGAAGAACUCGAUAGAUUUGGAUUAAAAGGUUUGCAACAGAAGAAAACUAAAUUACAACGAAGAAGUAGAUGAAAGAUUGAGGAAAUAGCUCGAGAGAUGAGAGGGAGGUUCCGAUGCCGGCGAGCAUUUGCUCCACCGACGUCGGAAAGAUGAAGGGAGAUAGUUUCCUCGAUAUUAGUGUCUAUUAGCUCCACCGACGUUGAAAAGAUGAAGGGAGAUAGUUUCCUCGAUAUUAGUGUCUGGGAGAGAAACUCUUUAAAAUCUUAGUCUCGCAAAAAAUUUGAUUGGUUGCUUUGAUUUCUAUAUUUUUUUUCUUAAUUACAUAACUUUAAUUAUUUCAUAAUAUUUAUAAAUAAACAUAUCAAAAUUUACAAUUUUUCAUUCUCUAUAAAUAAACACUAUCUUCAUUUGAUUUGGACAAAACAAAAAUAAUCUUUCUUUAGAAAAAAAAAAGUUUAGUCUCCAAUAAACUUUUGUUUUAGCUUUAAAUAUACUUUUAUCUAAAUGGAUCCAAACAAUAACCUUUCAACACCCAAAACUUUUCUAAUUACUUUUAAACUAUCCAAAUCCCAACAAUUAUUAGUUGCAGGUGUGUCAGAAGGACAUUGAACGAGCAUUUGGAGUGUUGCAGGCUCUAUUUAAAAUUAUUCGCGAACCAGCUCGACUGUGGGACAUAGCCGAUUUGACUAUCAUCAUGAGGUCGUGUAUCAUAUUGCAUAAUAUGAUUGUUGAUGAUGAACGACAGACGUAUACUCAACAUUGGACUGAUUAUGAUCAAUCUAAGGCAAGUGGGCCGAGUACAUAACAACCAUUCUCGACCAAAGUGCUACUUGUAUUUGCAAAUCAUCUGCGUGGUAGAUCCAAGUUGCGUGAUUCAAAUGUACACCGCAAAUUGCAAGCAAAUCUAGUCAAACAUAUAUGGGCACAAUUUGGAAUUUUCCAUGGUGAAUGAGAUUUUUAAGUUUGUGAGUUGAGAUUAAUAUACUAAUUAAGUUACAAAUGUUUCCUUACUUGUUGUGUGCGUAUUGUAUUGCAUUUUAAAUCUAUGUUCAUUGUAUGUGUUUUAGUAAUGAUUAUUUUUAUUUCUAGUUUUUAUUAUUUAUAAAGUUUUUUUAAAAAAUAUAUACAAAUAUUAAAACAAAAACUAUUUUAUAAAAUUUAUUUAAUAUUUAAUUAUUUAAAUUUAAUUUAAUAUUAACGGUGAUUAAUAAUAUUUAAUCACAAAAAACAUAAACAUAAAUAAAAUGAAAAAUAUAAAAUAAAAAUUGUGGGAUAAGGUGUUGUAAUUUUAUCAAACAAAACUAUUGUAGAGGGAAAAAAUUAUGUAGGUGUGGAAUAACGAUGUGGAAGAGAGAGAAAACGAUGUGAAGUGUUAAAAGGGAAAAAAAGGGUGUUGUAAAUGGGUAACCAUUGUAGAUAGUCUUAGGAAGUGAAUGGUGACUUUAAGAUUUGCAGAUUUCGAAAGAAAAAGAAAAAAAUGCACUAAUGUCACCAAUCAGACAUAUGUGUGUAAUUUGUUUUUUUUUACAGAUAAUUUGGCACACACAUUUCAAAGCAUGUUAAUACACUAGGGAUAAAAGAAACACACUCUACUAUCGUCCAAGGGAUAUUUGGCAGCGCUUAACUAAAAACUUGCAUUACACAGUAAGUAAUAAAUCAAUUAUUUAAUUAAUAAUAAAAUGUACCUAUAAAUCAGAUCAUGUACUCUAAAACUAUUCACACAUUACAACCAAAAACAACAUCCUCUCAUAUUUCGCUCCAAUCCAAAAGAAAAAAAAAACAAUCUCCCACCCUUUCGUCAUAUAUUACAACAUUUAAAUGUAAAUUACUUUUACUAUACUAGUAUAAUAAUUACUUAUAACAAAAUAUUUCUAUGUAAUUAAGGUCUCUUUAUAAAUAAAUAGGACUGAAAUUAAGUAUAUAAAAUUGUUCAAAAUUUAGUAAAUCAUAAAAUGUUAUAUUUAUGUACAUAUUUAUAUGACUAUGUUUUAUUUUUAUAUUCAUAACAUCAGUAUUAAAUUUUAAUCAAAUCAUAGAAAUUUUUAAAUAUGUAUAAUAAAUGGUUGUGAUAGUAUUUACUAAUCAAGAUGUAUAUAUAUUUAUUAAAAAGAGAAAGGAAAAUUUUGAAGAUAUACAAAAUUACUAUUUUUUUAAAUUAUAGUUUAGUAUAUUUAUAUUAGAUGGUAAUAUGAUAUUAUGAAUUUUUUCAAAACUUAAUUAAAUCAAUUAAUUUAAUCAUAUCAAAAGUUACUUAAAUCAAUUCAUUUCCAUCAUUAUUAAAUUUUAAACAAAUCAUAGAAAAUUAAAAUAUGAAAAGAAAUGGUUGUGAUAGUACAAUAAAGUGAUUCCGAGUUCCCUUUGCCUCCGUCGGAGAAGUAUUAUCUAGUUGAUUAUGACUACCCAAACAAAUAAGGAUUUCUAGUUCCUUAUAGAUCGUCAGGAAAUCGAGUUGUGAGAUAUCAUAUGUCUCAAUUUUAUUUUGGUCCUCCUCCUAGAAACAAACAUGAACUAUUUAAUAUGUCAUGCAUCUUUACGUUCUGUUAUCGAGAGAACUUUUAGAGUUUCGGAAAAGAAAUGGAGGAAUCUUUUUCAUUUUCCUAGAUAUAAUAUUCAUAUUCAAAAAAGAGUGGUAAUGGUUAUAGUGUGAUUACAUAAUUUUAUCAGAAUUUCAAACUUCUCAGAUGUAGAUUUUCUUGAUGUAAUGACAGAGACAAAUAUAAACUACAGAGAUUAUGAUCAUCAUUUAGAUGACAUAGAAGCAACAGAGAUAACAAAUGGAGAACAUAUGAUGCCAAUAAAAGACAAUAUUGCAAAUAUGUUAUGGCAAAAUCAAAAUAAUAUAAAAUAUUUUUUAAUGUUUUUUAUGAUGAAAUUAGUUAAGGCAUGUAACAAUAUGUAUGUUACAAAAUUAAAUUUAUAUUUUGAUCAAUUUUUGUAUUAGUGGUUUAUAAAUAUCUGUUAUUGUUUAUUUAUUAACACAAAAAAUUAAUUAAUUAUUAAUAUAUAUAUAUAUAUAUAUAUAAUUUAUAAUUCGCACCGCAUGUAGUUUUUUCACCAAUCAAACAUUAUUUUGUACCGCUUAUUUUGAAUAAACCGUACUUAUCCCGCAAAUAUAUUUCUCCUACACGAACCGCAGUUUAACCGUACUACACUUCAAUAACGCUUUCCCCGCACUAUAAAAACCACGGUUACCAUUCGGACCCUUAGAGCUUGUUUAAAAAAUUGCUAGGCGUUAACCGGGCAUUCGGGGACUUAUCGAUAUUAGUUUUUAACAUUUUAAUAUUGAUAUAUACAUAUAAAUUAAAUAUCGGAAUAUAUGACAAUGGAAUUAAUUUGGUUGAGUGUCAUCUUUUUUUAUUUGGAAAUUGCACAAUCUAUACUCUGAGGAGUCGUUAUUUAGGUUCCCAAAAAAGCAACUGUUUGGCUGGUACUGUGGAUGUGGAAAUUGCGCAUGUAUGAAAAUAUAUUGUGUGAGACGGCUUCAUUAAAAUCUUAUUAGAUUAUUAUUGUUCUUCGCAUGUGGUUUUUGUUUUCUAUAUGUUUUUUAUUUAUUGAUUUAUGGGGAAACCAAUCAUCAUCAUCAUUUCCCUUCCAAUACGGAGAGCUUGGCAAUGCGAAAGAUUUGGAUGGCAAAUGUUUGGUAUAAAUUUUUCGACCCGUUAAUAUUAUAAUCUUGAUAUUAUUUUUGUUAACGUCAUUAAUCUUUUGCAGACGUAUGUGGAGCCUAUCAUUUUCCCUGACGUGGAGAUGAACCCGAAAGAAGAUUUAACCUGGUCUGACGAUGAGGAAGAUGUGAUGGGUUGAUAAUAUCGUCAUGUUAGUUGGUAAAGGGAUUACUUUUCAGCUCCCUCCAUUCUGAUUUGCCAACUCCUACAAAUGCUAAGGUUAGUUAACUGAUAUUUAUUUUAUAAUCGUUGUGUUUAGUAGUUUAGCAACUAAGUAUUAUAUGUGAGUAGCUAUAUUUUUUCUUUAUUUUUGUAGCUUUUUUGCCUCUGUUUCAGAGUUUUCAAUUAUCUCCAAGAUGUUGCAGGUAAACAAAUCUGUUGAGGUCCUUGAUCAUCGAGAUGAAGAACCGGUUUAUUUAUUUACACUCCAUUUUUGUUUAACUUUACUGUACAUUUUUGUUAACCCCCUCCAUAUUUUAUUAGCCGGUAAGAUUGUUAUCAUUCAUUUUCUUUUUAAUUAUUUUAUUCUGUCUUGCAGACCAAAAUCAAUCCUUCAAAAUUAACCACUACAGUCGAGGAAGAAAAGGAUUCUAAGGAGGUUAGAUAAUUCUUCCUUGUUUUUAACUUUCAUUUGGUUAAAUCCUUAACCGGUGAUAUAUUGCAUGUUUCAAUUUUAGGAUUUUACCACUCCACCCCUGUCAACCCAGUCUCGCUCUAACGUGAAGGUUAUCUUCUAACUAUGAUGUUAUCGCUUAUUGUUUAUAUUCAUCUUCCACGUUUGUAGGAUGUGGUGUGCCCUGCAAGUGUGUAUGCGGAUUAGCUGUUAAAAAAAAUAUUUCCAAGACGCAAGAAAAUUCGGGCUGCCCCUUCUUCCGCUGUGUAAGCAAAAGAGACGUGAGUUAUUUCCUCUCUAAAAACGAUGUUAUUAGCUUUUCUGGUAGCUACACGUUUUGCUAGUUAACCUAUCAUUCUUUUUGUAGGGACAUUUGUUUAAGUGGGUUGAGGAUGUUGUAUAUGAAGAAGUGGAAGAUGCAUUGGUUAGACUUGUAUCGAUUUAAAAUGAGGUAAAUGAUUAAAAGCGCAGGUCAUCCAGUUUUGUGUUGCUAUAAAAGAGUUGAAGGCAGAUUCAGUGUCCGACCAGUUGGUGAUGCUUAUGUUGAAAGUGGGCUUGCUUUUCAGAUUUGUCUUCUCUCUUUUUGUAGCUUUUGUUAUCGCAACACUUCUUAAAAUAGUCGAUAUUAAGUUCAUUAGUAGUUUUUAAUGUCUAUCUUUGUAAUGUUUCAUAGUUUCUAUAAUUCCCUAUGUUUAAGAUAUUAUAUUUGUUAGUCGUUAACCAUGUAAUAUAUACCUUGUAUCAAUCUUCUGUCUAUAUAAUAUUUUAUAACUUCUCAUUUAUUUCUUUAUUUUUGUACCAUUUGCACAUUCUUUAGGCGAUAUUUAUAACCAUUUUAAAACUUAUCUUUUAUUUUAAUUUUUUGGUAGCAUUUUCACAUUUAUUAAGCGAUAAUCUAAUUCUUAGCCAUCCAGCUGUGGUCCUAUCUUCUUAUUUUAGGACGCUAGUUAUCUUUUUUCUUAGUAUUGCAAAUUUUAAGAAGAGGGUCUAUAUCUUGGUACAUAUUUUGUUACAGAAUAUCAUUCAACAUAAACAUAUAUUUAACAUUCAGAAGGAAGGUUUGUUGGGAUCGUCCCUGAUUGCAGAUAAUACACAUUUUUUGGAUCAGUAAUUGUACGUAUAUACAUUGAAAAUUUUCUGAUCUCCGAAUUCUUGUUAUUUAUAAAACAUGACUUCUCGCGAGUCUUCUAAGCACGGAACCAUCCGUUCAAACCCUCCCAUAGUCCAAAAAAACAGUCCUCUCCUUCCAUCUUCAUCCGCAAAAAAAAAAUUUUCCUCGUCGCUUACUUGCCUCCAUGUACCACAUUAAUUUUUUGAUUAGCAGUCAUUUUUCUUUUUAAUCAGAUAACACCUACUUUAUCGACACUAGUUUCUUCAUACACCAUGGUAAAAGUUUUGUUAUCGGCUGCUUUUUCAAAAAAUGAUAAGGAGCUAUAUAUAUAGAUAGCAAACCAAAGAAAGUUGCCCUAACUACACACCUGAGACUUAAAUGCUCUAUGUUUCUAUCUUCUUUCAAUAUUUAUCGUUUGCAGUGGUUUAUAUGUUAGUUGUUUCAGUUCUUGUUGUUGCAGUAAUGUCGAUAUGGAGAUAAUAAAUAGGCAAACAUCUAUCUUCCAUAUCUGCACAAUCGAUUAUGUAUCAUAUGUAAUCAUUACUUUUUACAUUUUUUUAUUAGUUUGACCAGGGGGCGCAAUAUCUUCGAAGAUUACAGAGCAUUUAAUGCUCGUGAUCUUGCGGAAGGAGACUAGUGAUCCUCUGCUUGUAUAGGAACAAUUAUGUCAUAUUUAAUUUGCAAGAAAAUUUUCACCUAAAUAACGAAAUGAUAUGUAUAGAUCCUUAAUUAUUUUCUCCUGUAGGUAUAUAUAUUUCAUUCACUCUUUUUAGUUUAAUGAAAUAGUAAAUGACAAUAUUAUCCUCAUCUUAUUCUUUAGAUCUUAGCGACUGCAACCCUAAUUUUUGUCGUAUCGUUUUUCACAAUUCUUAUCAUUUUUUCUUACCCUUUAAUGAUUUAUACCCAAAUAUAAUAGAUCUACAACCUAAAGACCGAUUUAAAACUUGUAUUUCUUUUUAAAAAAUGAGUUUUUCUAAGAGUUUUCAAUUUUUUUUGGCGAUUUCAACAAAUCGAGGCGGUGGUGGUCUGAAGAGCGCUUAGUUGGACGAGUAAUCGGUUAGACGACCAAUUUUUAGAACAAGGGUCUUGACAAUCCACAAUGCAAGUGUUGAAUUAUUUAUUCAAUUGUUGAACCUUCACAUUGCACAUGUUGAAUAGUUUAAAAAAUCUUACGUGGAUUCAACUUGGUUGAAAGUAUUCAAUAUGUUAUAAAGAAAAAAUUUGGGCCCGCGCAUGCCACAUGUCAAUAAAUGAGUAAAGGAUGUGUUUCAAACUCGGAGAAAGGAGAGCGUAUUGUCCAAACCUUUUUCUUUUUACUUUUAUUUUUUUUUGCAAAAAGAAGAGAUUAUUGAGAUGCUCACACUUGCUAUAUUUUCAUUAGAUAUUAAGAUUUUGGAGAUUUUAUUUCUAUCUUAUUUAUUUACAAUCAAUUAUUACAUACCAAACAAUUUUUUUUUAAAAACUUAUAUUUAUAUGAAAAUUUAUAAAUUUUUAAACUCUAGAAAUAGAGACUUAGUUCAUUUUAUUUGGACACAUAAAAAAUAUUAUUUCUACCAUAAUUUUCUUAUUCUUCUCCCAUAAACUCUUGGUUAUAUCCUUUUUUUUUAUGGAUUCUAAUAAAAUCCCUAUGCAAAAUUAUACUAAUUUUUCCUUUCCCUAUCCUAAUUCCAACAAUAAUCCUACGCAAAAUUCGACUAAUUACGUUUUUCCUUAUCAAAAUCCCAACAAUUAUCAAUUUCAAAAUCUAUCUUUCAACCAACCUCAAAAUUUCCCAAAUUAUGAUUUUCUACCAAAUUUUUCUAUGCUCUCAUCUGUUCCAAACUAUAAUUCAUAUUAUAGAUCGAUUCCAAAUUCAUCUCAACCACCUCUUUAUGAUUUGAGGUUGUGAUUUUCAUUGACAUCAAAAAGAAAAAAAAAAAAAAUAUCACAGAAAGGAGACAAUGAAUAUGAUUAAUAUUUAAUUGGUAAACUAUUAGAUUAGGCGGGGGUUUUCUCAAAAAUUGUCUCUUUUGUAGGACUGUUGUCACCAAUAUUUUCAGUAUCUUUUACUUUUAUUAAUUUUUAAUAAAAUUUAUGAUAAUAAAAAAAAUGAAAAUAAUCGUAAAUAAAAGAAAAAAAGAGAGUUGUGGGUUCUUUCUUUUUAGUUACCCACGCAUCGCUGUCGAAAGAUUAAUUAUGAAAUCAGAUGUUUGGUUGAGUAUAAUAGUAAUGCAUGUCAUUAGUUUAAAUUUAUAAUAUUAAACAAAAUUAUAAAUAAGAUAUUUGAACAAAACAAAAUUAAGUUAGUUUAAACGUUAAUUGGAAACCAAAUAAGAGAUCUGUUAGGAAAAAAGAAAAUAUAUACCAAAUAAGAGAUACAGGAAAUCAGAAAUUUUAAUAUUAUGUGUUUGAAUCUUCUCACCAAAAAAAAUUAUGUGUUUGAAUCUUCUCACCAAAAAAAAUUAUGUGUUUGAAUCUAAUUGAUUAAUGGACACGGUCUAGUAAAUUAUAAUUUUUUUGACCCGCGAAAUAUAGUGAAACAGAGUUUAUCUCUAUACAACAAGACAAAAAAGAAGUUCUAAGAUCAAACUCUGUUUGAUAUACAAAAAUUAUAUUGUAAAUGAAAAUGGAACUUUGAGAUUGAUCUACAACAAGUCUGCUACACUCAUCACAAACGUAAUGUGAUUAUACACAUCCACGUUGGCCGCAAAAACUAAGGAUCUUGUAUCAUCUGGAUCAACAGACAAAAUCAUAUUGCAAUAGUCAGCAGCAUCACGUGCGAGACUAAGGUCGUCAUCAGUCUCAUCAACAUCACCAUUGCCCAUUGACCGCUGUGCCUUCAUUAGCCCCUCGACAACAGAAUCUUUAUAGUUCUCCAUACAACUCUUGAAACAUGGCUUCUUAGGAGAACCAAUGAGAAACUGUGUGUGCUCUGCCUUCUCCAUGGCUAGAGAAAGAGCCGCCUUAGCCAACUCUAAUACAGUCGAUGCGGAUUUCGUGCGAUGAUCUAACGUUAGGGAUUUGAUACAUUCUUCUUCUAGGGACGAGAAUGACGCGGUGCCUUUACAAGCCUUUGAUAUCAGUAAUGAUGGAUAUGGACAUGUCUUUGGUUUGGUUGAUAAAUGGGUAGCAAUGUUGGAUUUUGCAUUGGUAUAUGGCCACCGCGAGAGGAGAAGGAAGGUUAGGAUAUGGAUUGAUAGGUAUGCAUGAGAAGCAUAUAAACAAACCAUCGUUUUAUAUGUUCAACAAAGCUUGUUCUUUGACUAUAGGUUUAAAUGAAAUAGUAGAUUGAAGUUUGUACAUAUAUUAACUUUUGUUGUGUCAAUGGUUUAAAUUGUCCAUUGUUUAGUUCCACAAGUUUUAAACAUGAUAUGUUAUUUAUAGGUUUGGAAUGAACGAUAGAGGAAAAAUAAACUUGUCAACGCUAAUAAUAAAAGAGUGUAUCGAAAAAGAGAGAAAAAAACAAAAAUUCAUUGUGAUUCUUUUGUUAUUUUGUUUUUCAAUGAUUCAAUUCAAUGUCUUAAUUUCUCUCCUAACAUAAAAGUUAGUUAUGGGCAUUCGGUUAUCCAGUUUCGGUUCGUUUCCAUUCCGUUAUCGUUCUUUCGGUUCUAGAGUUUAGUAUCCAUUCAGUUAUUUUGAUAUUUCGGUUCGUUUCAGUUCUUACAGUUCUAAAAUUUAAUAUACAUUCGGUUAUUUUGCUUUGAGUAUUUUUGGAUAUUUCUGUUAUUUUUAUAUUUUUGAGUAUUUUUACUAUUUAUAUAUACUUUUUAGUAUUUUUAAUUAUUUAGUCUAGAAAUGACUAGUAUUUUUGAAAAUAUAAUUAUAUUUCGGAUACUUUUGGUUAUCCAAAAUAUUUCAGUUUGUAUCCACUCGAUUUCGGUUCUUUUGGUUAUAGAAUUUUAAUAUCCGUUAGGUUAUUUUCAAAUUUUCGGUUUUGCUCCGUUUUUUUACAUCGGUUGCGGUUCGGUACAUUAGGUUCGUUUUAUAUGCCCAAGCCUAAUAAAAAUCAUGUUCAUUUUGGUAUUUAUAGCUUUAGUAGACACAUGUUUAGUAAAACAAAUUCUCAAACAAGAAGAUUUAUGGAAUACCUUGUAAGACUACUUAGACUAGUUACAAUGGUUUGGUGGUGAAAAAAACAUUUCCACUACGAUGGUGUGCUGUAAUCAAAGCUAGGUGAUGUGGCAAAUUUAGUAUUGAUAAAUAUCAAUACCCGUGAAAGUAGAACAGAGAAGAUAAGUGUGACAAGUGUUAUAUUUUGAUUGGUUGCUUUGAUUUUUAUUUUUUUUGUUUCAUCUCAACUAUAUAACUUCAAUUAUUUUAUAAUAUUUGUACAUAAAAAUAUCAAAAUUUAUAUCAAAAUUUCUAAUUUUACAUUCUCUAUAAAUAGAGACUAUUUUCAUUUGAUUUGGAUACAGAAAAAAAAACUAUUUUUAGACCCAAAAAAGGUAUAAUCGCCAAAAAAAAAACUUUUGUUUUACCUUUAAAUAUCUUUUUAUCUAAGUGGAUCCAAACAAUAACCCUUUCAACACCCAAAACUCUUCUAAUUACCCUUUUAACUAUGCAAAUCCCAACAAUUAUCAGUUUCAAAAUCAAUCUCCUAACCAACCCCAACAAUUAUCAGUUUCAAAAUCAAUCUCCUAACCAACCCCAACAUAUAUCAAAUUAUGGUUAUCCACUAAAUUUCUUCAUGCCGUAAGCUGUUCCAAACUAUCGUCCAUUUCAUGGAUCGAUGAUGUCUUAUCCAUCUUAAACACCUCCUUAUUUUCCUACUCCAACAGGUAAUGAAACUGAUUCGAAUCUUGGAGCAACUGAUUUUCCCGAGUUUUCUACCCAAAUGGCUCUUGGUGGUAUUAGGGUAUUCAUGAAGCCAUUCCAGAUGCAAAGGAUUCAACUCCUUCUCGUCGGAGAAGUCCCAAAUGGACCACUGAUCAAAAUUUGGUUCUCCUGAGUGGGUGGAUUAAAUUUGGAAGAGACAGUAUUAUUGGCAAAAACUAAAAAUGUGAGUCAACUGGGGUAAAAUUGCUGAAUAUUGUAAUGAACAUUGCUCAUUUGAUCCUCCCCGUGAUGGAGAAGCAUUCAGAAAUCACUAUAAUUAUGUGAACAAAAGCGUGAACAAAUGGGCUGGCGCUUAUGAUAACGCUAAAUGUAUGCAACAAAGCGGGUGGUUGGAGGAUGAUGUAUUGGUAAAAGCGCAUGAAUUAUAUUCAAGUGCUGGUAAAAGAAGUUUCAAAUAGGAGGAAAUACUUAUUCUGGAAGCAGUGGAUCUAAAAGAGCCCACGAGAGUGAUGCUAGUGACUCAAACUCUGUAGGAUCUAGUGCUCGUCCAAUGGAAAGAGAUGCUGCUAAGAAAAAGCUAAAAAAAAAGGUAAAGGCGCAGCGUUGAAAGUGGUCAACGAAGAGUCGAACGAAUUUUAACAAUUCAAGGCACAAGAGUUGGAUAGGUUGGAGAAAAUAACUAUGAUGCACAGUGAAACAAACCAAUUGAUUAAGGAAAAGACUCAUGCUAAAAAGAUGAAGAUGUUUAUAGAGCUAACUGAAAAAGAGAAUCUCGAUGACAAGAGCAAAAAGCUAUUGCAACAAUUGAGCCACGAUCUAUUUGGAAAUUAAUUAUUGUCAAGUGGUUAUCUGUAUUUUGUCACUUCAUGCUUUAACGUGUGUUUGUCACUUUCUCCUUUAAUAAUUUGUAUUGUCAUGUUAUGCUUUAAUAAUGUGUGUUUGUCACUUUCUCCGUAAUUUGUAUUGUCUUCUAUGCUUUUUUUUUUUGUGCGAAAUAUUGUCUUAUAUGCUUUAUUAAUAUUAUCCAUGAUUUUAAAUAGAGAAUCUUAUCUUAUCCAUGACUUUUGGUUUGAAGCACUCAAUUCGAAUCCAAGGCACCAACAAUUUAAUUCGUUGUUUCCAUUUUUUUUAUAAAUUAGAACUCAUUCUUCCAUUGAUGUACAAACCAUAAAUCUUACCUUACUAAAAAUCUCAAUGGAUCCAUCAGAAUAUCCUUUUGACAUCAAAGCUUACAAGAGGCAGUCUGAAAUUGAAGAGAUGUAUAUCAUCAAUCGGUUUAGGGAGCGUCGAAACAAAAUAGGGGAAGACUAUCCACCUCGUAGCAAGAGAAAAUACUUUAAAAGAGACCAUGCAUCAGCAAAAUUAAAGAAUAUUGACGACUACUUUGCCAAUGAACCUAUAUAUGACGAUGCAAUGUUUCGUCGGUGAUUCCGGAUGAGAAAACAUAUUUUCUUUCGGAUCGUUGAAGACUUAUCAAACAGCGACAACUAUUUCACCCAACGAUAUGACGCAGCCAAGAAAGAAGGUAUAUCUCCAUUACCAAAAUAUACUACGACCAUGCGAAUGUUUGCAUAUGGUGUGGCAGCUGACGCGGUGGAUGAAUACAGUAAAAUUGGAGGUACUACUACUUUAGAGUGCUUGCGAAGAUUCUGUAAAGGAAUCAUAAAGCUGUAUGAGACAGAGUAUCUCAGAGCCCCAACUCAAGAUGACCUCCAAAGAAUUUUACGUGUUAGUGAGAUGCGAGGGUUUCCCGGGAUUAUUGGGAGUAUUAAUUGCAUGCAGUGGGAAUGGAAAACUUGUCCUACAGUGUGGGAAGGUCAAUUUACUCGAGGAGAUAAGGGAACCACCACUGUUAUUUCUGAAGCAGUUGCAUCUCAUGAUCUAUGGAUCUGGCAUGUUUUUUUGGAUGUCCGGGCACACUAAACGAUAUAAAUAUCCGUUCACCGGUGUUCGAUGAUGUUGAACAAGGAAAUACUACAAGAGUGAAUUUUUUUGUGAGCCAACAUCCGUAUAAUAUCGCUUACUAUCUAGCUGAUGGUAUUUAUCCUUCUUAUCCUACUUUCGUCAAAUCGAUUAGGCUACCUCAAAGUGAACCAGACAAGUUAUUUGUACAACGUCAAGAGGCGUGUCAUAAGGACAUCGAACGUGCAUUUGGAGUGCUGCAAGCUCGAUUUAAAAUCAUUCGUAAACCAGCUGGCCUGUGGGACAUAUUCGAGUUGGCUAUCAUCAUGAGAUCGUGUAUCAUAUUGCAUAAUAUGAUUGUUGAGGAUGAACGAGAGACAUAUGCUCAACACUGGACGGAUUAUGAUCAAUUUGAGGCAAGUGGGUCGAGUACACAACAACCAUUCUCGACCCAAGUGCUACUCCUAUUUGCAAAUCAUGUGCGUGAUAGAUCCAAAUUGCGUGAUUCAAAUGUACAUCACGAAUUGCAAGCAUAUCUAGUCAAACACAUAUGGGCACAAUUUAGAAUGUUCUUGUUGUCUGCUUAUUGUAUUUUUGUAUUUUAAAUUUGUGUUCAUUGUAUGUGUUUUAGUAAUAAUAAUUUUUUCUUCUCGUUUUAAUUAUUUGUAAAAGUUUUUAAAAAUAUUAUAUAAAAUAAAAACAAAUAUAAACACAACAAUACUUUAUAAAACUAUUUAAUGUUUAAUUCUUUUAAAUUUAAUUUGAUAUUAACGAUGGUUAAUAAUAUGUAAUCACAAAAAACAUAAACAUAAAUAAAAUGAAAAAUAUGGAAUAAAAAUGGUGGGGUAAGAUGUUGUAAUUUUACUAAACAAAAACUAUUGUAAAGAUAAAAAUUGGGUAGGUGUUGAAUAAUGAUGUGGAAGAAAGAGAAGAUGAUGUGGAGUGUUAAAAGUAAAAAAGUGGGUGUUGUAAAUGAGUAACCAUUGUGGAUAGUCUAAGGAUAAAAAUUGUAUAGGUGUUGAAUAAUGAUGUGGAAGAAAGAGGAGAUGAUGUGGAGUGUUAAAAGUAAAAAAGUGGGUGUUGUAAAUUAGUAACCAUUGUGGAUAGUCUUACAAUGGACACGUUGAAAAAAAUAUUUGAAUAUGGUGCAAUGGUUGUUUUAAUAAAUGUUGUAGAGGAUGUGGCAAAUUUGGUGAGUAGGGAAAAAUAUCGUUUAAUAUUCCAACUUUCAAAUUAUGGCCAUUUUAUACCUCAACUUUAUAUGUGACCAUUUUAAAUAUGAAGAUAUCGUUGACCAACCGUUUAAACCAUAAACAUUAGUUGACCAGGCUAAAAAAACUAACCGUUAUCACUCGUUAACAGAUUAUCUAACGUCCGUUAACAUCUCCAUUAGCUACCCCUAAACGACGUCGUUUUCAUAUUUUAAAAAUAAAUAACGAACGUAGGAUUCAAACUUGUAACCUAGAGAAAAACUAGAGACUUACUUAACACCCUCACCAACAGUAUUUUAUUGGUGAACUUUGAGAAACAUAUAUUUAUUAAAGUUUUCUCCUUCAACUUUAACCUACAAAACAAAACCAUCUCCAUAGCCGCCGCCUCCAAAUCCGUGUUCUCUCUCCAUUGAUUUUUUUAAUCUUAAUCAUAUAUUGUUUUUUGUUGAUUGAAAAAAAUUUGUAUUUGCUAAUUCAAUUCAUCUGGAACCUAUUUCUAUGAACACCAUUGAUGGAUUAGUCAAUUGAUAUGAAAUCAGUUACACAAACAGCACUAGUUCUUCGUCGUCUCACAUGCACCUUCGUUGUCUCACGUACACCUUGUGUAUAUGAUCUGUGAUUGCUCUUAAGCGGAUCUGAUGUAUUUAACGGCAUAAUAUAUAAUUAUGUGUUUCCGAAUAAUAAUUAUUAAACACUUUAUCUUAGUUGGUGUGGACAAGCAUAGGGAGCACUCGAAAGUUACGGGUUCGAAUCUUGAGUAAGUUAUUUCUUUUUAAAAUAUAAAAAUGACGUCGUUUAAGGGUAGCUAAUAGAUGUUAACGGACGUUAGAUAAUCUGUUAACGACUGAUAACAGAUAGUUUAUUUGGCCUGGUUAACGAAUGUUUAUGGUUUAAACGGUUGGUUAACGAUAUCUUCAUGUUUAAAAUGGCCACAUAUAAAAUUGUGGUAUAAAAUGGCCAUAAUUUGAAAGUUGGAGUAUUAAACGACAUUUUUCCUGUUGUAAUUUGUCAACACCGUGAAUUUUACUGGGUGGGGUUAUCUUUGUCUUGUGUUGUGUUUUCAUUGGUCACUAAAAUUUGACUUUUUCGUCCAAUAAUUUUUGAACUCAAUUAAAUUAUAAUAAACUUUUUUUUUUGUCAUCUGAUAAUUUAUUAAAGAAAAAAAUAAUAAAGUACAUAGUUAGAUCCAAAAGCCAAGUAGAACAGAAAGAGAAACAAAAUAAAAGAGAAACAACGAGAGAUACAAAAUGAAAUUUAAACUUUACUCUCCUCAAACACUUGAUUGUGAAACCAUGAAGGCUCUCCAAGUGCUAUGUAAGACUGAAACCUUCUUUCUUGAAUCACACUUCGAGAAAUGGAUCGCGCGAUCAGAUUUGCGUUUGUGGCAAUAUGACGGAAUGUACAAGAUUCAAAUGCACCAGCAAUCUCAUGGAUUUGUGCUAACCAAUUCCUGUAGAAAGGCCAUUUGGACGGCUGCAAAACGGCGUUAACUGCGGCUGGAUAUUCCAACUCUAUUAUCACCUUGGAGACGUGAAUAUCUUGAAAUGCUUUCAACGACCGUAGAAUGCAGCACAGCUCAGCCCCUGUUCGAUCUUGAAUUGGCGUAAACGCAUCUCGUGCAUGGUGUUUAGCUUGCCCUAUAUCUCUUACAAUUCAAGCUCCUCCACACAUCGAUUGUUUAUUUAUCCAAAAAGAAUUCAAAAUGCAUUUAAGAAUACCUUCUUGGGGUUUCCUCCAUUUGUUUCCAUCCAAAUUGGAGGUGAUUGCCGAGAGAAUACUGUUGAAGGCUACGUGUUCACCAUUUUCCAAUGCAUUGUGUCUUCAUACGCUUUUUGAACUAAAACAUGAAAAUUCCAUACCUUUACUUUGAAAACGGUAUGAUUACGAUUCUUCCAAAUUGCCCAUAGAACCCAUGGAAUUGAUAGUCGAGUUUGCUUUGGUAUGUGCUUGUCUUCGAUAACAUUCAAUAGAUGAGAGAAGUUUGCUAGUAAGGUUGUUGAAGAAAAACCUUGAUCCGAAGCUUGCACAAAAUGCUGAGAUUAAUAUGCUUAAAAGGAGAAUAUGGAAUCUAAAAUCUGAGCCACAAAUCAAGCUUUUCUGUUGGCGUGCUCUUUCUGGUGCUUUGGCUGUGGCAGAACGUUUAAGCUCACAGGGAAUACAACAUGACACAAAGUGCCAAAUUUGUGGUAUAGCUACAAAAACAAUAUGUCAUACUCUAUUCUCUUGUGACGUAUAGAAUAAGAAAAUGAUGAAUUUUGGUGUAAAUUAUUUAUGUAUCUAAUAGUAGUUAUUAAAAAAACCAUUGUAGUAUAUGAAAGUAAACUGAAUGUUGAAUGAUGAUGUGUAAGAGAGAGAAGAUGAUGUGUAGGUUGUUGUAAUUUUAAACCAAUGUAAAUAGUCUAAUAAAAAAAUAUUUGGGUUCACCCCACUCUUGUUCACCCUCUCUUAAUAAGCCAAUCAAAAUACAACAAAAUGCCAUGUCGUUUAAUAUUUAACAAUUAAAAUAUUUGGGUUCACCUCUAGGGUGGUUAAAGUUUAGAUUUUAUAAAUAAUUGAAAAUAUAUUUUGGUUGAGUUUAUAAAAUAGUGGUUAGAGUUUAAAUUUUAUAAAUAAACAAAAUUAUAUUUCGGUUUGGAUUGAUAAAAUAGUGGUUAGGUUUAGAUUUUGUAAUUAAACGAAAUUAUAUUUCGGUUUGGGUUGAUAAAAUAGUGAUUAGGUGUUAGAUUUUGUGAUUAAACUAAAUUAUAUUUUGGUUUUGGUUGAUAAAAUAGUGGUUAAAGUUUAGAUUUUGUGAUUAAACGAAAUUAUAUUUUAGUUUGGGCUGAUAAAAUAGUGGCUAGACUUUAGAUUUUGUAAUUUAAUUAAUUUAUUUUUUCAAUAUAUGAUAUGUCAAAUUCUAAUUGGUCAUUAAAAAAUGGUGAACCCAAGAAUUGUUCUUGUAAUAAUUAAACUUCUUAGAACAACAAAAAUUUACAAUAAAUUUAUAAAAGGAACAAUUAAAAAAAAAAAAAGGAGCAAAAAGCAUGAUAAAAGCUGAGAGAGGAAACUUAAAAAGCACACUUGUUUCCAAAACUAAAUAGGGUCAGUCCCAAAAUUGGAUUUGUAUAGUAACAAAUGAAUAACGGAAAAGAGAGUUUCAAGAUCUACGAACAACAGCAGUAGCGAAAUAAGGAUGAUGGGUGAACUCAAACGAUACCUUAAGCGAACGGUCUUGACAGAAAAGGUUCACAGCAACAAUAUUGCGUUCCGCGACUUUCUCUAAUCCCGUGACUUCAGCCAGCUUAUCAGGAUCGUUGGCGUAACCGACCUUUAUGUCCUUAGCGAUCUUUUGAGCAUCGUGAAAGUACUCAUACAUAGGAAGAUACUGCAGCAAAAGUAAAUAGAUACAACUUUACUUGCAUGUUCAAAACUCUUUCUAAUCGAACAUAGUAGAUUUAUACGUGUACACAUUCAUCACUAAAACAUUGUAAACAUUACCUAUGUUAUUAUUUGCUCAAUGAAGAUUGGGAUCUCAAUUUUCAUGUGUUUAUAUUUAUUAAUCAAGUUAUUGCUUUUAAGCAAAUAGUUAACUAAUAAAUCCUACAUAGAUAUAUUUUAAAUAAACUGUGAAUCCUAAAUUUUUCCGUAUUUUCCGAAUUACCUGAACCGAACUCAAGAUUUUGCGAUUUAUGGUAUUAAAGCAGAUAGUGAUUGUAGGUACCCGGACUACCUUUACAGUACUCGAUUCCCUAUCACCCAACCAAUUUUUUUAAGUGUAUGCUUCGGGUAGUAGAUUUAGAUAUACCUGAAAUAACCAUAUCCAACCCUUACCAGCUAUUACCUGACUCUAUACCCUAAAUGCACAUGCCUACUUCUACAAUUCAUUUGACCAAGUAAACAGGAUUAAGCACAAAAACAAAGUUGAAUAAAGCACACUUACGUCGAGACGAGCAUGGGAUGUGGAUUUUGAGAACGAUUCAUAUGCGUCAUAUUCUGGAAGGGAUGCCUUCUGAAGGAGUUCAAAAUGCUGUAUAAAUUUCUGCAUGUCAAGGAAAAUGGGUAGUUGAAGUCAUACACAGGAAGGGAUAAAACCACUCACCCAUUACUAAGGCUGAGGAUUUUUAUCUUACACAUUAAUUCAAUAACUAUGCAACAGAUAAAGAGACUUAUGCUUACCUCAUUUUCGGUAUUAAAAGGUCCUUGACUCUUUAAAGACAUUCCUUCAUUUCUCAAAGCUGCAAUCAUCUACGGGUAAAUACACAAGGUUUGGUCAGGUUUAGAGUACUUGAUAUCAGCAAUAGAAGGAGCUGGAAACCAAGAGAUUGAAGACAAAAUUACCACUGUGAGGCCUUGUGCAAGACAGGUCUGACAUUUGAGAAACAAUACCCAUAGACUAAUCCGAUCUUCCCGAGCCAUGUCCCUAGAAUACUCCUUAUUCCUCUUUGCUUUUCUUUCCUCUGAUCCAGAUGAAGGUAAAUGCAUUAUAAAAAGCUACAAAUACACACUAUGCAGUUAUGCCAAACCAAUUACUGUACAGAUGGUUCAUCUCCGAAACACUAGGACACAAAAUAAAAACAAAUGGAUAUAUGAAUGCUUACCAGUGUUCACAACGAUUAAGACCCUGAAACGUGCUCUUUCGGCAAGCUUCCAGAGUAUAAUAUACAUGUACCAGUAUACCAUGCAAUAUUCACUUGGCGAGUAGAGGUCUAGGUCAAAUCCCAGCAUGAGAAAGCGAAUUGCCACCCAAUUAAUUUGCUCUUCUAAUCCACCAUAUAUAUGGUUUAAAAUGAGUAGAGACUUAUCCUGAAAGGUACAUAAAUGCAAGUUAACACAAAAUUCAAUAUCUGCUUAUCAAUAGAGCCAAAAUUUUCCGAAAGAGAAAACAGAAGUUGUAGGAAUUUUGACUACUGGUUUGUUCAUGCUAACAAUGAAUAGACAGCCGUCAACUAGAUUCAGAUAGAGGUUUGAUUAAAUGGACCCAUAGUGAUGGUAGUAAACCUACCCCAUUUUUCGAACUGCGUGAUGUAUCUUGCUGCAUCAUUUGACCAACAGCAAUCCCCAUCUGCCAAAUACAGGAAAAUGUAUGAAUGAGAUCUUGACACAAAAACCCAAAUCAAUAUGCAAACAAUUUUAGGGUAAGCGAGCUUACAUAUAGUUAAGUAAAGAAUAAUACAGUUCCAACAAAGGCACAAAUGGUAUAACCUGCACAUGGAAUACGCUCCAGUCAUUUAAGAUUUUCCCAAGCUUACGCCUCUGCCAUGGGGUAUUAGCGCAUAGUAUUUUAAGUAGAUUAACCAUCAACUGCACCACAAAAUGAGAAUAGAGAUCAAACAGAGAUUUCUAAGAAAGGAGCCAGUUGAAUAAUUAUCUAACUUUUUCAGGAUCCAGAGGCUACCAAAACCACAAAACAUAGACAAGGCAUUCUCAUCAAAGUCCCCAUUAAAACAAAUAAUUUUUUGUUGUUUCAAUCUUCUUGAUGAUUGCAAAUUAGUUACAUCCACACAUGCUGAAAUUCUCUGAGAUUGGGGCUUAUACGCCAGACACCGAAUAUUGAACAAAACCAAUGAAAGAUUAUUCUUUUCAAGGUUUUACCAAGUUCCAAACUCUUUUCAAGGAAGAAUAAAGAGCUACCUCAUACACGUUUGUAGAAAAAAAUGUACCCAACGUAUUCUUUUAAUAUACUGUGUUUACCUGAUUAAGUUGAAGAAUGUACUCAUUCGUAUGGAGGCCAUGGUUCUUGGAGACAUCUAAUGCAAGAGAUCUGGCGCAAAUUGUCAAAAAGGUAUCACGGCCGUAAAGUUUCCCAUCUUGCACAAGGAGAAGCUGUAGAACAAGAUUAUUUAUUGAGUAUAAAAGGUAAAAGCAUUUUGCUAGCUUAAUACAUAAUUUAUUCACAAAUAUUGCUAAUAUCAUAACAAAAAUGGACAACCAUAUCAAUGCUUAACAGAAAUUUACAAUCAGAAUCAACCUCAACUACAAAUAUUGGAUCUAUAUUCUUAUAAGUCUUCAUAAGAAAGAAAAAUGAGAGUGUCAGCCACUACAUAUUCCAGUGUCAUCAUAAAUAAUAUCUAGAUAACAAUAAUAGUAAAGAGUCAACAAGAAGAAUAAGCAGAGCAUUCAACAGGCCUGUUGGCGAAAUGGGGCUUGAGGUGGUUCACGAGAGUUGGAUAUUCUCUAGUCCAUUGGUUCUAAGUUUAUGCAACUGUUCUUACAGAAAUAAAGGAGAUUUCUACUAUAGUCAUAUGGCUGAAUCACUCAACUCUAAGUGACAAUGAAUUGAAAAUGAGUGCUAAUGAACACAAAACUGCAAAGCAAGGAAGCGGGUAAAAGAAGAAGCCAUAUUAUCCACUAUACAAACACACCCUAGUGGAUGUAUGCGAACAUCAGUGCAACUACAGCCAAAAUAGUUACUCAAAACAAGAAAACAAAAUGAUAAAUGGGUAUCUGAAAGCACAGAGCUGCAUGAUAUUGAUGCGUUAAGUUAAAGUAACGCACCUGAAGAUGAGCCCUAGCAACCAAAUCAGGACGAGAUUUUUGAAACUGAAUCACAAACUCCAAGACGGCCUCUAAAUCUGGUUCCAAUGAAAAUGCACAGAUCUUAUCCAGAUUGUGAAGAAGUUUCACAUAAUAGUCAAUAGCCUGGAGAAUCAAAAAUUGAAAAAAGUUACUAAAAAGUUAUAUACACACAAACUAAAUUACGUAUACAGAGAAUUUAGAAGUCCCAACCUUUUUCCAAGAAAGAAGUUUAAUGGCACGUGGCGGCGUUGGAGCUGAUAAUCUUUUGUUUAAAGUAGGAUCAAAUCCAAUGGGGGACCGACCAGAAGCAGUUGUACUUUCUUCUAUCUCGUUUACGCCAUUCUCGAAAAUAUCUAAUCUUAGAAAUUCUGCUGAAUCCAGAACAGAAUCUAGCUCUGAUAUGCAAUAGCCUAUAUGUUUCCUUGCCAAUUCGAGGCCACGUCCUUGUGGUCGUCUCAUACAAUUAAGAGCAUGUAGAAAAUGCUGAAAGUUAUUGAGGAUAUGUUAAAACAACUAGCAGUGCAAAAGUAUAUAACAGCUACUAUUUUUUUUUUUAAAAUGGCUUACGAAACAAAAUAAUAAUAACAUCAUGAAUCACAUGUCUGGCGAGAAUUUUUAACCAAAAAUAAGGGUAAACAGGUAAUAAAAGCUGCCAUAUACUCAAAAUUUAGUCUCUGCUAAGCUUGUUCAUUCUUGUAAGUUGCAUAACAUGGAAAAUUUAACACAAUAAAACAUAUAUUAACUUUGUCUACCACUCCCCAUUGUGAGGUUAGGUUGAAGAAAAGCAACUCAUCAUACUCUUGUUACGUGUAGUUUAUCAAAGAAAGAAUAAAUAAAGCAUGAGACCUUACGGAACACUGGAUAAAAGACCAAAUGCAAAUUUUAAGUACUAAUUGUAGUUUUUCUUUUUCAAAGCAAGCAAUAAAAAAUUCUAUUCAUCGAUGGCCACCAGAAUACUAAUAAAAGGAACAGACUUGGGACUAUAUUAUACACUAGUUAACAUGACUUAAGUUGGGAAAACCUGUAAUUAACAACAUUUAUCAAAGAAAGAAUAAAUAAAGCAUGAGACCUUACGGAAACGUAUCCGGCAUAACAGAGAUUUGCAAAAACUCUCUUCCAGAUGGGGAUUACUUUGUAGAGGUUCCAAUUCUGCAUCUUUAACAAACAAAAGGAAAGAAAGUUAUUGUUCUCAGUUCGUGCUGCUGUGCACCAUUGUUACAAAUAAACAAUAGACCAUAUCACUCAAAGAGAUGGUAAAUUUUUAAAAAGAAAAAAUCAAUUGUAAUAAUCAGCGGACUUCACAUAUAAAUCAUUACUCAAUAGAAGACUCAAAGUUAUCGUAUAUAGGCCAGAGAGGCUAAUUUCAAGUUGGUAUAUGCUUAGAGAGCACUUGCAAAAUAUCUAAUUCCAAUGCAUUAUACUGUCUCCAAAUCACAAAUCACCAUUAAAUGUGUAAACAACAUAUCAUAAGAAAAGAAGCAACAGAAGACUCUUCGAUCCCCUCAUAUGAAUACGCUCUUCAUAUUUCAAUUCUGCAAGUGUGUGUAUGUAAAAUAAAAAAGGAAGAUAUGCAAAGCAAAAAAAGUACCUUCCAACAUUCUCCUUCUUGUGGCCUUACAAGCACGCAGCUGACGACAGAUAGUUUCUUCAACCGCAUUCAAGAGUAACAAGCCCUUGGCAUCUUCUUCUCCACUAAAAGGAAGACCAUAUGUCAUCGUAAAAAGAUCCUCUUCCUGUUAAUGAGCAGGUAUCAGGUGAAUCAUUCAGAGUAAACUAUCCAUGAAGCAGGGGCAUCUGUCUAGUUAAGAGAAACUUCUAUCCAAAAUAUCACAACAAAUCUUCUCAAGUAUUUUAUCUUCAUUUAGCUGCAUAAUGGUGGAAAUUUCUACAGAAAUAAGUUAUACGCUCUGCUAAUCAUCUCAAGAUUAAAUAACAACUGCUUAGGCUAGAUGAGAACGGAUGCCAAGACUUCAUUAGAAGAGUAAAGUCAAGUGAAUCCAGUUUUCGUCUCUGAUGUCAUAAGCUUAAGGUUAAUGACAACUAUGAAAUGUCAAAAUGGGUUAGCAACUGUUUUUCUUUACGCCAUAAAAGAAUGUUGGACAUAGCAAAAGAUUUUAGGAGCAAACAUUGAACACAAACUAAACCUUUAAUGAAAAGCCAAAAAACAUACAGAAACAUUUGCUUAGCCCCACAAGAAUAAAAGAGGACCAAAAAUUGUAAAAGUUAAUUACUUCAUUUGUACGCGCAUCUGAAACAACAGAAACAACUGCCCUGCAAGUUGCUCGGAUGACCCUACAAUAAGAAUGUAAUAGAGCCUGUGAAGAUGUCCUCUCAGGCCUCAGAACAUAGAUGCAUGAAAACACAGUUUGGGCCAAUGAAUGACCCAUGUGCCAUGUUGCCUGCAAAAGAGUAGAGACACAAAAUGUGGAUAAAUCAACUCCAAGGCUGACAUGUUAGCUACAUACAUAUCUCUUUAUCACAAUUAUACCUUGCAAACUCACACAGUAUUAUAUGAGCACAUGUAAAGAAGAGAUUACCUCACACGCCAGGAGAUGGUCCAUAAUGUCAAUGAUGGAUUGCACAUUAACAGUACUAUCCGAACUUAUAGGGACGGGCGCAAAACCACUUUCGAUGGCUUCAUCUAUAGAAUAAAACGUAGACACCAUACCAGAAUCCAUCUUUGGGUCCAUUAUCUAGUACAAAGCAAGGACACCACACCAUGUUUGUUAUACACACUUAUAGCAACCUCACAAUCUAAGUUUACAGCUAAGAACAGUCCAAACAUAUUUUGUUACAAAAUAGAAACCUCUAAAGCAGACAUGGCAGCAAAAAGAUUGAAAUUAUCUCCAUUUAUGAGUUCACCUUCUUGAAGAUCUGCAAACAGAACGACUCAUGAAACUAAAACAAGUGGGGAAUACAAGCAAAAUAGGCAAUUGCGAUCAGUACCAGAGCAGGCGGCGGAGAGGAGAGGUGAUACAUCGGCCCAGACGGAGUUAUUAUCACCGGAAGGGAUAGAAGAAGAGGUUUUAGAGUCGUGAUGAAUCGGAGAAGACGAAUCUUCAUCUUCCCUAACUGAUUGCAUCGUUUGUUGUUGUUGUUGCUCAGGAAACUUGAAAAUCGCUUUAAUCUCUCGUAAUUGGUUUUUUUUGCUACUUAUGGUAUAAGUUUCGUCUUGCUCGAUGGAACACUUUGCCUGGGCUGUUUAGGGUAAUUUUCGGGUCGGAUCCUCAGCGGAUACCCAACCCCCAAUCACCCGAGCCUCCUGCCGUCUUUUUUUUAUAAAUCAACCUUUAAAACCAACAAAAAGAUUUUCAAAAUUUUAAAUCUAUAGUUUUAUGGGUGAAUUUGCGGUAUAAUCAAAAUCUAAUGUAAAAUAAAAAAUAUAAAAUCUUAUUGAAAAAUAUUAAGAAAGUAAUUAGAUUAGUGAAAAGAUAAAAUUGUAUAGUGAAAGACACGCACAAUAAAAAAAAAGAAGAGGUUUUGAAUGUUUUGUAGAUUUUGUAAGAGUUUUUGGUUUUUGUUUUUUAAAAACUUAUUUUUAUACCAAUUAAGAUUUUAAAAUUUUGGUUUCCCUACAAUUUAGUAAAUUUAUUUUAUUGUAGUUUUCCAUUCAUGAUUUUAGUUUUUUAGUUUUCCUAAAAUUUAGGAAAUCUAGUUUUUAUUCAAUCAACGUUAUUUUUCUCAAAAACCAAAAACCGAUUUUUUGGGGUUUUUAAAACAAAAAUAUAAUAACAAAAAUCUAAAACUAAAAUCUAAAAUCUAUAAACUAAAAUCUAAACUCAAAAACUGAAUCAAAAAUCAGCAUCCAUUCAGAGCUAGAGUAUAUGAUGAUAUAUGUAAAAAAGUAGAGAGAAUAAUAAAGAGGAAUUGCAAAACUAACACAUUUUUACUAAAAUAUUAAGAAUAUAACAUUAUAUAUGUAUCAGUUAACUAACUAACCUAAAUGGUAGAUUAAAUGAUCAUAGGUGGUGGUUUGGAUCCGGCGACGGCGGUGGCUCCGGCGGCGGCGGUGGCUCCGGCGACGGCAGUGGCUCCGGCGACGGCGGUGGCUCCGGCGACGGCGGUGGCUCCAGGGACAGCGAUGGCUCCGGUGACAGUUCUGGUGGUGGCUCCGGCGAUAGCGGUGGCUUCGGCGAUAAUUCCGACAAUAACAGUGUCUCCAGCGAUAGUUCCGGCGGUGGUUCCAGGGACGGUGGAGGCUCCGGUGACAAUGGGAACACCGACGAUGGGGUGGUUGCUCUGGUGAUGUCAUUCGUUCUCGUAACGGGGGUAGCUCCGACGGCGACGGUGGUGUUGAUGACGGUGGCUGUGGCGGCGGUAGUGGGUGUAGUGAUGAUUGUUGUGGUGGUGGUUAAUGGUGAUUAUUGUGAUGGCGAAAUUAUAAUAUAAUAUAUUAUACAGUUAUUAUAGUGUAAAUUUUUUCUAAUAGGCUAGUUUCUUAAUUUGUAAUUUUUUUUAAGUUAUACAUGCAAAUUCCCAAAAUACUAAUGACAUGGCUAAAUUAAUAUCACCCCAAAUAAUUUUGCUUGUUGAUUUAGUCUUAUAAAUUUUGCAAUAAUUUUAUAAGAACAUAGAUUUUUUUGAGUAUAACAUGAUUUAAAUUUUUAAAAUCUAAUACAAAUUAUUUAAAUUAGGGAACAAUGUUUGUCUAAACCACACAAAUAAAAUAGUAUAGAACAAAACGUAGAUAAUUCAAAAGGCCGAGUUAAACCGCUCUAAUAAAAAAAAUACUAUCCCUAUGAGAUACAAUAUUGGCAAUCCAAGUAACUAAGGUAAACUAUAGCGGUGAGCCGGUGACGUUGACGAUGGUAAUAGUGGUGGUGGCAACGAUGAUGGUAGUGGUGGCAGUGGCACUAAAAAUGACAUUGAUGGUGGUAAUAUUAAUUGUUAGUGGUGACAUGAUGAUGGUAGCGGCAAUGACGGUAGUGGCGGUGGGAUGGUAGUGUAGUAAUAAUUGUUACUUGUUAGUAAUGGUAAUUAUAAACUAGUUUUUUAUUUUAUUUUAUUUUAAUAUAAAAAUAUAUAUAGAAGAUGAGAUUACUAGCUAGAGAGAAAGGGAGAAAGAAAAAUCCACAUGUAUUGAUAAAUAAAUAACCAGAGCAAAAUACUAAUAAUUUACAAACUCCCAAAUAUUGUGUUAUAAAUAGGUUUAGUGUUUUCAAUGGGUUGCAAAUAAAAGAGUCAAAUAGGUAGAAGAGACCUUUGGGGAAACUAUAAAAUUUAGCAUUCGUGGUAGAUGAAGAAGGGAGAAUCUAAUGAAAGAAUCAGCAUGAAAUGCAACAGAGGAGGGGAAAAAAGAAGGUGUAUGUAGUGUAGAGGGCAAAGUUAUCAUUAAUACAAAAAAUACAUAAUAUAUCAACCUUUUUUUUGUUUGAUGUUAGUUUUUUAAUUUAUAAUUUUUUGUUGGUUAUUUAUGCAAAUUUCCCUAGUUUUAUUUAAUCACCAUCUUAUUAUAUAAAGUACCAUUUUGAAAGUUACUAACUCACAUAAUGGUGUCACGUGUCAAGUCUAAUAAUCAGAUAUUUACAUAUGUCAUUAAAGAUUUACCUUUUUAUUCUCUUAUAAAAAUAAAAAAACCUAAAAAAGUAAACAAAUUUACAUAUACUAAUUUUUAUAUCUAUAUAUAUGUAUAUAAUAUUUUGAUUAACCAAUAGGAAAAUUAACAAAAAAAAAUUUUGGUAGGGUGAGGGGGACCAACCCUUCAUUUAUUAUAGAAAAAAAAAUAGAAAAUUACAUACGAACAUUAACAAAUUUGCUUUUACAUGUGAUAUUGGUCAAUUAAAUAAAUCUAGCAUGCAUUAACUAAUUAAAAAGACCAUCGAAAUAUUGAUUUUUCCCGCCUAAAAUAUUACAAAAAUAAAUUUCCCGCAAAAAACAUUUCAAAAAAAAAGUCCGCCCAAAGUUUUUUUCCAAAAAUAUUUUUCCUACAAAAACCUUUUUGGCGGGAAAAAGAUUUACAAUGGGUUUUAAAAGAUUUUUAAAGGCUUUACAAGAGUUUUAAAUGAUUUACAAGUGUUUUUGAAAGAUUUUUAUAUGGUUAACAAGGGUUUUAAAGGAUUUUAAAAAAGAUUUAAAACCCUUUAAAAACUUUUGUAAAUCUUUUUAAAAUAUUUUGUAAGGGUUCAAAAGAUUUUUAAAAUGGUUCAAAAUUAUGAAAGGGUUUACAAGGGUUUUUGAAAAGAUUUUUAAAUGGUUUACAAGGGUUUUAAAGGAUUUACAAGGUGUUUUAAAAGAUUUUUAAAAGAUUUACAAGGGUUUUAAAAUCCGUUAAAAACACUUGUAAAUCUUUUUAAACCCUUUUAUAAGGGUUCAUAAGAGUUUUAAAAUGGUUCAGAAAGAGUUACAAAUGUUUUAAAAUAAUUACAAAUUAUUUUAAAUCUUUAACAAAAUGAUUUAAAGACUUUAUAAGAGGUUUAAAAAGAUUUUAAAAAGAUUUACAAAGGUUUUAAAAAUCCUUGUAAAUUGUUUGAAAACCAUUGUAAAAGGUUUUAAAAUGAUUUAAAAAAGGGUUUAAAAGGGGUUUAAAAGUAUUAACAUAUGUAUUUAAAGACUUUAUAAAGAUUUUAAUAGGUUUAAAAAUGAUUCACAAGAGUUUUUUUAACAACUUUACAGAGCUUUUUAAAAACUUUACAAGGUUUUCUUAAGAGUUUUUAAAGGGUUCUUAAAAAUUUUACAAGGAUUUUUAAAUUCUUUUUUUUGUAGGGAAACAAUUUUGAGGAGAAUAUUUUUUUUGGCAAGGAAAAAGUUUACAAGGAUUUUUGACGAGAAUAUCUUUUUGGCGGGGAAAAUAAAUUUUGGUGCAAAACAUUUUUGGCGGAAAAAUUUCAGUUUCUAAUUAUAUGUUCUUACUAGAUUUUAACCCGCGGUGUACCGCGGGACUAUUUAUUUUAUUAAAAAUAACUAAAAAUAUAUUAUUUUAUAAAUUAUCUGUAUGUAACAUAUUGUUUGUAUUUUAUAAAUAUAUAAUCCUAAUUUCUAUAUAUUGUACAAUCCCUUGAUUUUAUCAUGGAGUACACCGUAAGUCGAUUUUUAAAAUUUAAAAUUUAAAAUUAUAUAUGAUUUUUGUUAAGAUUGUUUCUUUUGUCAUAUAUUUUAAAUUAUAUCAUUGUAUUUUAAUUGUUAGUUAUAGGAUUUCACCCGUUGUAUAACGUGUCGUAUUACUAUAAACUCAAACCCGUCUUACCAUCUAAUUCCGUUCAAUGAAAUUAAACAUAUUUAAUGGAUUUCAUCCUAGGUAUAUUGUCUCAUAUUACUAUCGACCCAAACCCGUCCUACCAACUAACCCCGUUCAAUAAAAUGAAAUAUUAUUUUAUUAUUUUUGUUUUAAUAAUACUUUAAUUUGAAAUAUAUAUAAUUCAAAUCAAUUUCAAACUUUUUAUUUUAAAUGGUUAUUUAAUUGUUAUAAUUUAUAAAGUUCAUAUAUUUUAAUAUUCUAAACUCGUCAUACCAUCUAAUCCCGUUCGGUGAAAUUAAACAUUAUUUUUUAAUUUUUUUGCUUAAAUAAUAUUUUUAUUAACAGAUUUAUAAUUCAAAUAAAUUUAAAAGGUGUCGUUCAAAUAGUUAUUUGAUUUUUUAUAGAUUUCACAUCUAAAAUAUUUCUCUAUAUGUAACAUAUAGUUUUGUAUUUUAGAAAUAUUAUAAACGUUUUUUCCUUAAAUAUUAUAAACGUUUUAAAAACUUUAAAUAAUUACAAUAUUUACCUUUUAAUAAAGUAUAAUAUUAAUAAUCAUUUAAAUAAUUAUGUGUAGCUAAUUUUAAGGGAUUUGAUUUAAAGCUUGUUGUUUGGAUUAAAUUUGAAUGAAUAAUGUGAUUGAUAUAUUAAAUCAAGAAUUAAAAAUCAAAUCAAAUAAUUAAGGAAAAAAGAAUUAAUGCCAAUGGCAUGCCAUUGUAAAUAAGUGUCAAGUAGAGGAUUUAUUUGCUAAAAUAUAAUUUUAGUUUUUUAAAAAUUAACUGAAAAUAUAUUAUAUUAAUUUGUAUUUUUAAAUAUAGAUAUCAAUCUCUGUAUUAUUUAGUAUAUGAUUACUAUUAUUUAGGUUUCAAUUUUUGAAGUAUAGAUACGAAAAUACAUAUUUUUUUAAGUAACGAUGUAUGGUGAAUUUUAAAUUUUUAAUAUUUUAUCCAUAAUAUACCGUGGGUCGAUUUUUUAUAGCUAAAUUUUUAAAUUUCAAGUUAUAAUCGUUUUGUUAAUAUUGUAUGAUUUUUUGUGUUUAAGGUUGUAUAAUUGUAUUUUAAUUGUAAAUUUUAAGAUUUCAUCAAUGAUAUACCUUUCUUUAUUAAUAUCGAUCAAAACCCGUCAUCCAAUAUAAACCCGUCUAUAUUAUCUCGUUAGCUAAAUAUUAGUAUUAUAAAAUCCAAGAAAAUAAAUUAUUAUUGUUAGAAAUACAAUAAUUUUAGGAUCUCACCCGUGUUAUACUGUUUUUGAAUGAUUUUAAAUUUCUACUACUAAUAUAGAUUUUAAAUUUGUCAUAUAAAGUAUAUGAUUUUAACUUUUUGUAUUUUUUUAUUUAAAUAAAGCAACGGCUUAAAUGAUGAUAGAUAUAGUUCUUUUUUUGUAUGUGUAUAUGAUUUUUAUGUGAAUAUUUUCAUUAUUAUAAAUUAGUAUUUUUAUUGUUAUGCAAAAUGUUAAUAUAAAUAUUUUCUAUAAAUCGGAUUUAUGCAUAUUUUAUGGAGUAAAAUUCACAGAAUUUUGUUUUUGAAGAUAUAUGGAAAGAUUGUGUAGAGAUUUUUAGAAAUAAAUUAGGCAAGAUAUCGUUUGGUUAAUAUCUUUUAAAAUUUUGUAAAACUAAAUAAUAAAUGCUAGUGACAGCCGUUGUAAAUAAGUCUGAACUCCAGGAUUUAUUUCACAAAAUGGUUGCAAAAAUGUAUAUGUAGAUUAGAUGAGGAUAAUUUGUUCAUUUUGUUCAAAAAAAAAAGGGAGAUUUGCAAAACUACCAUUUUUUACUACCCUUUUGCAACAAUACCCUUUUAUAUUGUUCAUUUUUAAAAAUAUCCCUUCUCUUGAACAGAAUGACCAAAUUACCCUCAUCUAAUAAGAACAUGUAAUUGGAAACUGAAAAUUUCCCGCCAAUAUUUAUUUUUCCCGCCAAAAAAAAAUUUCCGCCAAACUUUAUUUCCCGCCAAAAUUUUUUCUCGUAAAAUUUUUUUCCCAGCCAAAAUAAUGCUUUUAAAAAUCCUUAUAAAUUUUCUUAAAACUCUUUUAAAAAACCUUGUAAAGUUUUUUAAAAGCUUUGGUAGUUGCUAAAAACCCUUGUAAAUCAUUUUAAAACCUCUUAAAAUCUUUAUAAAGUCUUUAAAAACAUAGGUAAAUACUUUAAAACACCUUUUUAAACCUUUGUAAAUCAUUUCAAAAUUUCCACAAUAGUUUUACAAGAUUUACAAUCAUUUUUUAGCAUAAGUAAGUGGCAUUGAAUGAUUUACAAGGGAUUUUAAAAGCUUAUAAAAGGGUAAAACAUGAUUUACAAUCGUUUUUAAAGCAUAAGUAAGUGGCAUAUAAUGAUUUACAAGGAUUUUUAAAAAGGGUUAGCAUGGUUUACAAUAUUUUUUUAAGCAUAAGUAAGUGGCAUUGGAAUUAUUUACAAGGGAUUUUAAAAGCUUAUAAAAGGGUAAAACAUGAUUUACAAUCGUUUUUAAAGCAUAACUAAGUGGCAUAGAAUGAUUUACAAGGAAUUUUAAAAGUGUUUGUAUGGUUUACAAUCGUUUUAAAGCAUAAGUAAAUGGCAUUGAUUGAUUUACAAGAGAUUUUAAAAGGGGUUAACAUGAUUUACAAUCGUUUUAAAGCAUAAAUAAGUGUCAAAGAAUGAUUUACAAGGGAUUUUAAAAAAGGUUUGCAUGGUUUACAAUCGUUUUUAAAGGAUAAGUAAGUGUUAUAGAAUGAUUUACAAGGAUUUUAAAAGCUUAUAAAAGGGUAAAACAUAAUUUACAAGAGUUUUUUUAAAGAGUUUUAAAAGGAUUUACAAGGAUUUUAAACCUUUGUAAAUCCUUUUAAAACUCUUAUAAAGUCUUUACAAGUAUUUUUUAACUCUUAGAAAAAGAAUUGUAAGUAUUUAAAACAUUUACAACUCUUUUAAACCAUUUUAAAACUCUUGUGAAUCUUUACAAAAGGUUUUAAAAAGACUAGAUGAAUUCCUACGCUAUGCGAGGGUUUGUUUUGAAAAUUGUUUAGAUAAAAAUAUGUUAAUUAUUUUUGUUGCUAAUUUCUGUUUAUUUUUUGUUUGUUAUUUUAUAAUUAGUAAAAUUAGACUCAUCUUAUGUACUUGCAUUUUUUAUUGUUAGGUUCAUUUUUGACUCUAAAAUAUCAAUUUCUAUAUGUUUUCAUGUAUAAUCUGAUUAUUUUUAUAACCAAGAUUCUAAAAUUUGUUUAUUAUCAUGAAUAUACACAACAAGAAUAAAAGAUGUUUUUAUUUCAAGAGUUUUCAUAUGAAAAAAAAGAAGCAAAAAUUAAAGAGUUAUUUUAGUAACACUUUUUAGAUUUAUGCUAUUGCAUAUAGCCAUAUAAGACAAAUGGAUUUGUUUUGAAUUUCGUGGUAUGUCUAACGUCUCAAAAAUCUAUUACUUGAAAAUGUUUAAUGUCAAUGUUACGAACUUACCAUAAGAUACAAAAAUAAAAAGACAGAAUUUCAUAUGAUAAGAUAUGAACCAUAACGUAAUAAUAAUAAAAAAAUCAAGGUAAAAUAAUUAAACUAAUAUUAGGUAGCAAACAACUAAAGUACAACACAAAUAACUAUUUAGUCAUUAUAGAGUGAUGACCAUUGACCAUUAAGUUUUUUUAAAAAUAUGAAAUAAUAAAGUAAAAUAAAAGUAGUAAUUGAUUUAUUUAAAUAAAUAAUUUUAUAAAUUUUUUAUUUUGAAUAAAAUUAUUUAAGAAAUGAACUAAUGGAGGAUUUAACACAAUAUGAGACUUUUGAUUUUCUCUCAAUUAAUUUUGCUGAUUUUUAAUUUAAUCAAUGUUAAUUGACACAUGUCAUUUUCUUGUGUGAUGAUGUGUCACCCAUAUGGAGAAAGUUGGCCAACUUUCAUAUAUAUGAUUUACAAGAGUUUUUAAACGGUUUCUUAUAAUUUCUUUUAAAAUCUUUUAAAAACUCUUGUACAUCUUUUAAAACCCUUUAAAAAUCCCUUGUAAAUCUUUUAAAACACUUUUAAAUCCUUUAAAAAUCUUUAAAAAACUCUUGUAAGUCUUUUAAAGCCCUUUAAAAUCCCUUGUAAAUCUUUUAAAACCCUUUUAAAAUCCCUUGUAAAUCUUUUAAACCCUUUUAAAAUCUUUUGUAAAUCUUUUAAAACCCUUUUAAAAUCCCUUGUAAAUAUAUUUCCCGCCAAAAAACAAUUGUUUACGGGAAAAAUGUUUUCGAAAUUUUUUUUUGGCGGGAAAAUUUUGGCGGGAAAUUUUAUUUUGGAAUAUUUUAGGCAAAAAAUAUUAAUAUUUCAUUUUGUUAACCUAAAUCAAUUUACAAAUAGGAAUAAAAGGGUCAUUAAAAAUUUAAAUAGGGUAUAAAUGAAAAUGGUAAAUAGAAAAGGGUAGAAUUGAAAAGGGGUAGUGUGAAAAGGGCAUUAGAAAGAAUUUUUCAUUUUUAAUUAUACUUUCUUCUAAUUUUUAGUGAUCAUUUUAACCCUAUUUGAAAAUGUUUUAGGUUAACAAAAUGAAAUAUUGAUUUUUUCCACCAAAACGGCUUUUUGCCUAAAGAAACUUUCACGCCAAAAAAUUUCCCGCCAAAUUGGUUUUUUCAAAAACAAUUUUCCCCAUAUAACAAAAAAAAUGGCGGAAAAUAUAUUUUUAAAACCUUUGUAAUUCUUUUUAAAACUCUUGUAAAACUUUUUGAAACCUUUUGUAAGGGUUCACAAGAGUUUUAAAAUAUUUCAAAUUUUUUUACAAAUGUUUUAAAAUAUUAAAACAAAACUUUUUAAGAGUUGAAAAAUGAUUUAAUAAUAAGAAUUUUAAAAGGCCUUACAAAAGUUUCUAAAAUCCUUGUAAAUCGGUUUAAAACUAUUUGAAAACUUUUGUAAAUAAUUUUAAAACCUUUUACAAUGGUUUUAAAAGAAUUAUAAGUAUCUUUAAAUAUUUAUUAAGGUUUUGAAGUAUUUACAUGUGUAUUUAAAGACUUUAUAAAGAUUUUAAAAGAUUUCAAAAUGAUUUACAAGUGUUUUUAAGAACCGUACAAAGCUUUUAAAAAACUUUACAAGGAAUUUUAAGAGUUUUUAAAGGAUGUACAAGAGUUUUCAAAAAAUAUUUUGCGGGAAAAAAACAAUUUGGUGGGAAAACUAAAUUUUGGAGCCAAAACUUUAUUUGGCGAGUAAACUAAAUUUUGGCGGACAAAUUUCAGUUUCUUAUUAAAUAUUCUAAUUAAAUGGAGGGUAAUUUGGUUAUUUUGUUCAUGAAAAAGGAUAUUUUAAAAAAUAGACAAUGGUAAAGGGUAUUUUUGCAAAAGAGCAUUGGAAAAGAGUAUUUUUACAAAUCUUCCAAAUACAUUUGGGUAUAUUUGGUACCUACCUAUUUAUUAAAUUUUAUUCAUUAAAGCUUUGAUGGAUUUUGAAACCUCUUACAUUGGAUAGUUCCAUAUUUAACAAUAUAGACUAGGUCAGUACUCGUGUUUCGCAAGGGGUUCAUGAUUUAAUUAGUUUAUAAAUUUUGUUUCUGUAUAUAUUACUAAUAUAGUUUUAUUUUUAUUCAAAAUAGAUUUUUAGAUUAUCAAUUCCCAAAACACUAUCCUGUCGUUGUAGUAUUUUAGGUUGUCAAUCCAAUCUGCUGGUGUGAUGCAAACAGAUAAGAUAUUAUUAGAAUGCACUAAGUCAAACCAAGCAGAGAGUUUUUGGUUUCUAACAGUCCUCAUAUGAAAUAAAAGAACUGAAAUAAAACUGAAAUGCAAAAUGGCAGUAACAUGCAAAUGAAUGACAAAGCAGAUAAGAUAACAGGCAAUCAAAUGGAUAAGAGAUUCCUAAGGAUGGAGUAAUCGAAUAGCGUGGUCUCCUUAAUCUAUUUAGACGGUUGACAAAACUUCACAGAAGAUAUCUCUAGAAAACAAGUUCAAUGAAAGAUUAAUUCACUACCGUGUAAGAAAUCCUAAAGUGACGUUAUCUCCAUUAGCGAUCUCUAACUAAGCAGACAAUAUCGAAUCAACUUGUUAAAGCCAAUACCCGUUCUAAACGGCCAAUACCUUGGGAUAGAGACGAAUAUCACUGGAAUUAAUAGAUCCGACAUUCCAUCGAACGCCUUCUGAGCGCGGGAAUGUCUGGAUUCAUAUUCCAGUUGAUCAUAAAGGAACAAGCAAUAAGCGCAACUAAUCUAGAAGGGAUUCCAAUAUUCUAAACUCAACCAUCUAGACGACUAAGGUUACCACAACUACUCUAUCCCAUCCUCAGAAAUACAAUUCACUACUCAGACAUAAGCAAAGACAAUAUCAUAGAAACGAAUGAAAACAUGAUAAGGGAUCGAGAAAUGACAAAAGAUAAACGAAAUGAUACUAAGACUGAAAUAUUUAAUACUUGAAAGUGAAUACAAAAUCGCAGGAGAGCGUUGCGGCUACAAAAGUUUUAGAAAAAAGGAUCAUGCCCUAGGGAAAACCCCUAGAGGCUAUUUAUAAAAGCAAGACAAGUUAAGUAAGGAAAGUCUUUGAUAGUAGUCUUCACAUCGGGAGAUUGCGAUUGGGCAUAUGAUGGGCUGAAAUGGGACUCACUGCGAUGGAGUAUGUCAUGGAUCAAACUUGGCUUCAGGGACUCCACCUUGCAAUCGUGUGGUCUGGAGUGAAGACGAGAUAAAAUUGUCCAGCGACCCUGCGAUCGAGUAGAUGUCAUGAGGUGGUGAUCGAGUGGUUUCUUCAGCUUCUCUUCUCUUCCGUAUGCUCAGUGUUGGUGUCGGAUCCCGCACCAAAAGUCCGAAGUCGUCUCAGCCUGUAAUAAGCCCAAUCGCUGACUUAAUAAUGAUUUUACAAAUAUUUUUAAAAGGGGUUUAAAACGUUAAUAAUGAUUUUACAAGGAUUUUUAAAAGGAUUAGUACCUGAGCAGUAGGAAAAGAAUGAGAAACAAAAGGAUUUGAAGUCGUCUCAACCUAUAAUUAACACAAUCACUGACUUACUAAAUCUAUAUAUAAACCAUUUUUAAAAUUAUAACACAAGAAAGUUAUUGAAAAACCUACUCCACUGUCACAGAAAUUUGCUCUACUCUGUGAGAAUUUGUGCAUAAAAGUUGCAAGUUGUCUAUCGUUUCUAAUAUAAAGAGGAUGAGAUUGUAUUGUUCUAGAAGUGGAGACUUGCUUAUAACUAAGCUUCAAAGAAUUGGUUGAACUAUCUAUUCGAAAAUUCUCUACAAGAAUAUCAACCAAUGCGUGAUAGGUAAUGUGCUCAUCAAUGAGCACUAAAGAAGCUCCCAUUUCAAUGUCUAAUUCAAAUUCCCAAGUCAUAUUGUUUGUCAACUUCCACAAACCACAAACAGAAUACUAUUCUAUCAUUAUAACCUGAUAAGAUAAAUAACAACAAAAUCAAUACCCACAAACAUUGUCACUACAGAGAGAAGCAUGGUUUACAAUUAUUUUUAAAGCAUAAGUAAGUGGCAUAUAAUGAUUUACAAGGAAUUUUAAAAGCUUUGAAAAUGGGUUAACAUGAUUUACAAUCAUUUUUAAAGCAUAAGUAAGUGGCAUAGAAUGAUUUACAAGGAAUUUUAAAAGCUUUGAAAAGGGGUUAACAUGGUUUACAAUCGUUUUUAAAGCAUAAGUAAGUGGCAUAUAAUGAUUUACAAGGAAUUUUAAAAGCUUUGAAAAGUGGUUAACAUGGUUUACAAUCGUUUUAAAGCAUAAGUAAAUGGCAUAGACCUAUCACGAAAGCGUAAGUAAAGGGGUAAACACUAAAUCAAAACCAAAAUUUAUCACGGAACAAUAUAACGAAUUCAAAUCUAUCACAAAACAGUAUAACGAAUUCAAAAGGAAUUAACGAAUUCACAUAAUCAACCCCAAAAUCGAAAGCAAAAUAGUAGAAUUUACAAGGAUUUUAAAAACAAUUCAAUCAUUAAAUCUCAAACAAAAUUCAAAUUCGAAGCAUCAACAAAUGUCAAAUUGUCGAUUGAAUCAAUAUCACGAAUCACAUAAGCAACAACAAAAUCGAAAACGAGACAUUUAGGCUAAAAUUACAAAUUCGAAAUCGAUUCCAUGAGAGAAAAACAAACAUGGGGAAAACAAGAGAUUGAAAUGAAGACUGAGACGGUGAAAUCGAUAACACGAAUCCGACAAUCUCCGACGGCCACGACGCAAUGCGACAGCGACAAUUAAAACAAUCUCCGACGGCGAUGACAGACGAAGAAUACAUAUGACAUCAAUUGAAAUUAGAUCGAUUAGUCUCUGUAGUUCACUAAGGGUAUUUUGGGGAUAAAAUAAUUAGGUGGGGUAGAAAUAAAAAUGGCUAAAAAAUGGGUAAAGUUUAAAAGGAGCAUCAUGAAAAGGGCAUUAGAAAGAAUUUUACAUAAUUAUAUAAUAAAAUAUGUUUUCCUUAUAAAAAUGGUUUCUAUCACUAACUCUUUAACCAUCAACAACCUACUAUUUUAUUAAAUGACAUUGUUUUUUCCUUAGAUUCUUAUUGGAUAUCUCUUCUAAGUCGUUAAUAUUCAUUUUCUUUAUUUUUGAAUUAGUAUUUAUUUUGCAUUUUUCUCUAAACUACAAUAUGUUGUUGUAUGUUUGUCUUUGUUUGAGGUUAGUAUAUUUUUUACUCAUCGCUAUUUGCCAAUUUUCAUAAUUAUUUUGAAUCAAUGGUGGAGUAUUUAUUAAGAUAUUAGUUUGUUUAGUGACAAAGUAUGAGAUAAUAUAUUUUUUUACAAAUGUGAGUACUUACAAUUUGUUUUCUUAUAGGAUUAACAACUGAUUGUAUAAUUUUUUUAAUCCUUUUUCUAUUUUUCAUAUUUUUCUUGUUUAGUUAGUAACUUAUAAUUAAAACAUUUAGAUUAAUUUUCUAAAUUCUAUAGUUUUAGAAAAUAAACAUAUAAUUUUAUUAUAUAUAAGUAUAGUUUCCUUAUAAUAAUCUUUUUAUAUUCUUCAAACUGUUUAAAUUGUAUAAUUUUGUUGUAAUUAUUUUUUUAUAAUUUUUUAAUUGUUAAAUACAAAACUUUUGUUUGCGACAUAACAAAAAUCUCCUAUGAAAAUAUAGGUAUUAAAAUUGCAUUGAUAGAUUUGAAAUUUCGUGUUUUUUUUAGUUGAAAUUUAUCCUCUUAAUUAUAUGAUUUUAAUUUUUACUUAUUUUGAAAAUCUGUACUUUUCAUUUUUUAUGCAUAUAUCAAAAUAGAGAAGCAUUUCCAUAUGUACAUGUGUGAAAUCUCAUUAAUAAAUGGACAUAACUUUAUACUUUUAUUUUUUAUAAUAUUUUUUAUUUUUUAUAAUGCAUAGUUUCAUUAUAAUUAUCCUCUAUCUUUUAUAAUAUUGUUCUAAAAAAUUUAUUUUUUAUACAUGUCAAAAUCUAAGAUCUCUAAAAUUGACCCGUGUUAUAAUCUCCUGAGUUACUAUCAAAACCGUACUUUGUAUAAUAAGAUCCCUUUAGGUAGACAAAUAUUUGUACUUUUUUAUGUUAGUAUCCAACAUUAUAUUUUGUUGCCUAAACUGAACAUUAUUAAAUUGUUAAUUAUAAGAUUUCACCUAUAGUAUACCUUCCCGUAUUAAUAUCGAUCCAAACUCGUCCCACCAUAUAACUAUACAACACUGGUUAUUUAGAAUUUCGAUUGCCCUUUAAGGAUAACAAAAGAAAGAAACAACAAAUGUUGUUUUCAAAUAGAUAUUCCAAAACCUUGUCUAGAUUAAUUAAAAUGGUAUGAAUUUUUUAUUUAUUUAAUUACUUUUACAUAUUAAUUAUUCUACACAAUUUAUGAAAUACUAAUUGUUUUUUCUUUAGUAUGUGCAGGUUGACCCAUUAACGAUCCGAUCCAACGCUUCUUCACCUGAAAAUUUGCUUGGAUUCUCUUCGUUUAAAAACAAUACCAAAUAAACAAACUUUUGCCUGAUGAAAUCAAUGACCGAUCUUGGAUGCAAGUUUAAAGAGUCUUUCCUCAUCGUUCGUUCAGUUUCUUAAUCGCUUCUUUGUAUUUUCAAAUUCGAUUGAUAUUCUGUAAAUUCCCUCAUUUUGGUCAAUUGCUUUAAUGUAACUUCAAAUUUGAGUUUUUUCAUUCUCUUCAAACUCUGUUUUUAAUGGAUUUGAUAUGGUGAAGGAGAAUACACUAAACAUGGAUGGGAAGAAGAAGGAGAAGCCAGCAGCUCAGUUUCACUCAAUCGCAUAGCCGGAGGAAUCACCCACUCUAUAUCGUUCACGUGGCAAUCUUUGGUUGGUCCCGGACUUUCGGUGCGGGAUUCGACACCAACAAUUAGCCCUCCAAGUCUUUCGAAGUGUUAUCCUAAUUCGGAAGACUUUAAUGCUUUAAUGUACAAAGAUUGCGCUAGAUGAUUGUAUGAUUUCCCACCAAAAUCUUGUUACUCCCUUGAUUCCGGCACUGUCCAUAUUUACCCGUAUGACAUCUGUCACCAUUAUGACCACAUCUUAAUUAUUUACCAUUAAAGCGGGAAAAUCCUUCACCUUCCCCCACGACUCCCAAGGCGGUUCCAUCAUCAUCACCAGCUUGCGUGAGGUAAAUUUAUUUUAUAUCUUUCUUUUUUUUUACGCUUUUCUCUCUUAGAACAAAGAUCCUCUCUGUUUUACUCUACCAAUUUUUUCUUCGAACACCGGAUUUUUUUAUUCUCUACGAUGAAUCCUGAUACUGAAAGACCCGAAUCCCCAUCUUUCAACGAGUGUGGUUAUAGCAAUGAUAUAUGCACUCGCCCGAACGACAUCGCCGGUCCACACUAUAUGUCUACUUGUACCCUUCAAUGCCUUGAGCGACUGAAGGAGCUUUGCCGGAUUCCGCCGGAGAUUAUGACGGAAUCAAAGAUGCAUGGUCCCAUGGAGUCCCCGGAGGACCAUCGCUCCGGUUAUUUUUGCGUUUACGAGAUCUAUUUCAAGGGCUGCGGGUUGACCUUUCCUUUUCCUGAAGCCUUGGUCUGUUACUUGGAAACUCUUGGAAUUGCCCUGUCCCAACUAACCCCCAACCUUCUCUGAACUAUCUUGGGGAACAUAACUGUUACGGCGGAAGCCGGAUACGUUAUCGAGGUUCCUGAACUAAACAAGCUUCUUAGCGUGAGAAGUUCAUCGAAGAAAACUGGGUACUUUUCGGCGUACCCGAAUGCCAACAGGAACCUCAUCUCGCACCUCCCGAACAAGGAUGAGAACUGGCAUCAACCUUGGUUUUUGAUUAAGAAAACCCUUGCUUCAAUCGGAAAUCUUUCCGAUGUGCUUCCAUCGAAGUGGUCUACGAAACCCGGUAGAAAUUAGGUCGCAUAUACCUUCUCUGUUUACCUUUACUGUUUAUUGACCAAAUCUGUUGUUUCACUUCGCAGCUUUCAUCGCUCGGACUCUCUCGACCGAGGAAUUCAUCGAACUCUUCAAAAUCGUCUUCGAAGGGGAAACCCUCUGGAAUUCCUUCACCCGUGACCGGUUUAUAGAGGCCAAUCACAAACUCAGAAUGAGCCCUCCCGGACAGCUUCAUCAACUUCCGCCACCUCCUUCCCUAUCUCAAGGAACAUUAGCCCGUGAUCUUGCUUCUCGGUGGAAGGUGAUAUCAAAGCCGAUGGCUGAGGCUUGCGAGGUAAACAAGACGUUCCUUGCUAGUUGACAAUGGUAGCGCCGAAGGGGCCAGAUCGGCCGAUGCGUUUAGGUCAACACUCCGUCCUGAACGCCAUGGUGGUCGUUCUCCUCGGAGAAAAAGAUAUCCCCGUCGUGACUCUCCUCGCUCUUCUCCCCGAGGUGGACUGAGCAGCGAACCCAUUGGUAAUUUAGUUUGCAAAAAGAGAGACAGACCGGCUCGUGGCAGCUCUUCUCCCCGAAGGGACAAAUCAAAGGCCCGGACUUUUGACAGAUAGCGUCCCGGAAUUUGAGAACGCUUCUUACUCCAUGCUUACUAUUCAUCGCGGGGUAGUUUCAUUUCCCUUUUUCUAAUCUUGCUAUUCCUUUACGUACUAACUUACUUUCUCGGGCUUAUACUCAGUGCCAGGCAAACAGCAAACUUAACGACAUGGUUGAGCACUAUGAAGGAUUGCUGCUUAGUAGGGAGCAAGACAUCGACACUUGGAAGGGCAAGUUUUCUUCCCUCGAGGCUGACCUCCGUCCCUCUCCGGUUCCAAGCAAAAAUUGGAGGACCAAGUCGACCAUCUCUCUUCUGAACUCAUGGAAUCAAACGGCGAGUUGCAAGAUCAGUACCGUAGACAUGACAAACUCCAAGAUGAACUCUCAGUUGCCCAAGAUAGGCUUUCUGAAUCUGAAUCGGUUGCUUACACCUUGAACAACCAGUUCACCGAACUUAAGGCAAAGUACAAGGCAAUCGCCAAGCUUCGAGAUGCUGAGUUAGCUAAGUCGGCGUUAAAAGCCAGAAAAGAAGUGAAAGGUCGCAGGAUAGAGCUGAUUCAGGGGGCCAUUCUUUUCAUUCAAACCGAAAAGGCAAGAUCAGAGCUGGAAUCUAAUAUUAAGGAGCACGAAAGCAACCUACUCUUGUUGGACCAGGUCCACGAGGAGGAUUUCAGCGAGGAGUAAGAGAGGUCCGAUUUGACAGCCGUUUUAUCCGAGAAACAUAGCCGCCUUCUUGCUCUCCCCGCUUCAUCCUUCAACCCUCAGCACUUCAAAGAGUUCUUCAUCGAAUCACCCCCUUUGGGUGAAUCGGGUUUAGAUUGGGCUGGUAAACUUUCAUACUUAAAGUUUUAUCACUUACAGUUUUUUUAUAUAUACUCUUUACUGAUUUGAACUGUUCUCCUCAGGUUCAAGUGAAUCGGAUGAUACUGCUGCACCUAAGGUGCCUGCCAUACUGGUAGAGAUUGUUGAACCUGACCCUAUUUUGCCCAAAGCUCCUCCGUUGUGAACAGCGAGACGGAGAUCAUCCCGGAUGAUGAGUGUGAUGCUAGGCACGAGCCGGGAACCUCUUUCGAGACACUCCCUGGCGUUGAACCGAAUGAAACCGAGACGACUGAUGUCGAGCCCGAGAUAGCUACGGAUUAAUAGUGGUUGCGUCCACUUGAAAUUGGAGGUUGUCCCAAAUAUUUAAGAACUUGAAAUUAAUUAUUGGAUAAGUAUUUACCUAAGGAGGCUUUUAAACUUUUUUUAAACUAUGAUCCCAAGAGGGUUUGACUAAAGUAGAAUGCGGGUUUGCAAAGUCCGCCUUUAAAUAUUUUGACCAUGUGGUUAAGUUUCGAGAUUCUAAGGUUGAUCAGACCUUUCUAAUAGAACGCGAGAAAUGAGCUCAUCUUAACGCGAAUUUCCCAUCUCGGGUUGAGUUAAUUCAUUACAUUUAUUGGGCUUGGGCCUUAACUGUUAUACCUUGUAUUUAAUGGGCUCUUUGUCUUAAAUGCGACGGUUGCCAUUUCCCAUCCUAUUUCUCGAGAAACCGGAAAAAACCUCACGCCUUUGAGGCAAUAAUUGCCUUUUAUCGAUUUCCAAAUAUGGCUUAAACCAUUCGGACACGCCAUCAUUAUUGAAUUUUUGGUUUCAAGACAAGAUCUAAACCUCUAUAAAUAAAAGUUUAUCUAUCACCGAAUUUCCCCCAAGUAUGAUUUUAGAAAUUUACUUGAUAAACACCACGAGAAUGGAAAACGAAGGAGCCUCCACUGUCUGUCCUCUCGACCCUGGCAGUCCAUUGUUUCUGUCCGGCGAUGAUUUCGAACCUGCCGGCGUUCUCUUUCCACACACCGCUUUCCACUUUCCUCCGAAAGAUAAAAAGGAGGCGUACGACUAUAUGGACAAGGUCGGGAUUCAUUCUUCUUCCCUCUAUUACGAUUCUUCAUCUUUUUUUUAUAUAUUUACCGGUUUCCAUGUUAGGUUGUCGACAAACAUCGCCGCUUGUGCGAUGAGAGGCAACGUCUGGGCCUCAAAAGGCAAACGCUCGAGGCCCGAAUCGCUCGAGUGGAGAGGAAGGUGAGGGAAAUGGAGAGUGAUCCCUUUCAAUGGGAGUUGAGGAACUUCGACUGCGUUGCCAAGAUCCCGACUAUGCUUUGGAUGUACCUCCGCGCUCGUGGUCAAGUUCUCGGUCUCGUGAAUGCUCAUGUUGAGGUGGUCCCAUCCGAUAGCGAGGAGGACGACGAAGAAGAGGACAUCGACCCCUCGAAUUGUGUCAAGAAUGAACCCAAGGUAGACGACAAAAAUGAAGCGUCCACUUCGAAUGCUGAAUCGGCGAUGAAGGAGCAUGUUCCUAAACCUCUUCCAUAAAUGUCCCCGAACUUGCUACUUACUUUUUUUUAUUUUUUUUUUAACUCGUUAUGGGCUCCGGCUCAUUUUUAAUUUAUGGAAACUUUUUUAUUUCCUUGAUCUCAAAAUACUCGUUUUGGAGAUAUGUUUUAAAUGCAGGGCCAACUGGAAGGCGUAGGUCUUUCCGCGAAUCACUCCGGCCUCAAAUAGAAUUGCAAUCUUCAAAGGUGCCAAGUCCCUAUAAAUUGCGACUCCAAGUUUUCUUUAUUUUUUAUUACAACUUUCUUUUCCUUUUGCAGCUAUGGAGUUUAACCUUCGAUGUUCGGAGUCCAUGCCAGACUUUUCUAGGGUCGGAAUGAUGGAUGAGGACAUCCCAAACGUGCGGGGAAGAGGGCCUUCUCAACCUCGUGGCUUCUUAAGGUCCCAAAUCCGAGCUCCAUGUGCAUUGAUGAAGGGACUUUCUGACAUAGACCAAGAAAUCACGAUGGCAUUCAUCAAGGCUCUUGCGGUUCAGCACCAGAAGCGUUCGUUGGAAAGGAGGAAAAUCCGAAAAAAGAUUAACCGAAUAUUACGUAGGGUUAUUGCGAUAUCGAGGGAACUUCACACCCUCAACUCUCACCCCGGGGACUGGAUUGAGCUUGGAAUUUCCGAAUUUGAUCGCAUACCGGAUUGUAUGAUGCCGAUUCUUGAACUCGCUGGUCAAGGAGUCCAACUGUUCUACAAGUCGAGAAGAGUUUCUUAAUUUGAAGUGCUAGCGUGACGAAACUUCGUCUUCUUUGCUUACUGCUUGAAUACUUUCGUUUUGUUUCCUGUAUUUGCAUGUUCGCGUAGUCGAACUUUUCUUGCUUUGUUCGUUCGCACAGUCUGAACUCGUUCCCAAGCUGCGUACGUACCUAUUUCAAGAUCAAGCGACACCGUAGUUCAUGUACAUAACAAAAAACGCGUGUUUACUUAAACAUAAAACUUCUUUAAAAUGACCACAUUCCAAAGACCCUAGACAGGCAUGUCUUCUUAAUCUUUUAACCUAUAAACACCAUUCUGAUCCACUUCGGUAAUAAUAUAAGGUCCUUCCCAAUUAAUAUCGAGCUUGCUUGCUCAUUCUUCCUUUUUAUUGUUGAAAACGCGCUUUAGAACGUAAUCACGUACAAAGAAAGGUCUGAUUUUGAUUUUGGAAUUGUAAUAUCGAGCUGCUGCCUGCUGGUAAUUCUGAAUCCGGAUCAAAGCUUGGUCUCGCCUUUCGUUGAUAGUAUCUAACGAAUCAUCGAGCAUUGCUGAGUUUUCUUCUUCGGUUAGGGGAGCCUCUGUUCAGCAAAGUCCAUACACGUUGAGCUCGGCCGGGACCACUGUUUCCAUCCCAUAAACUAAAAAAAACGGAUUUUCCCCAGUAGACCGCCUAGGAGUUGUGCGGUAAGCCCAUAAAACCUGUUGAAGCUCGUCGUACCAACCUCCCUUCAAAUGAUUCAGGCACUUUUUUAGAUUGGUUAGGAUUGUCUUAUUUGCGGCUUCGGCUUGACCAUUUCCUUGUGGAUAACGUGGAGUGGAGUAACUGACUUUGAUUCCCCAAUCUGUACAGAAAGUUUCGAAUUCGUGCGAAAUGAAUUGUGGUCCGUUGUCUGUGACUAUCUCGUAUGGGACACCAUGCCGACAUCUGGUAUUUUUCCAAAUGAAAGUUUUUACUGCCAAAUCUUACGUAUGCUUCAGCCUCAAUCCAUUUUGAAAAAUAAUCAGUUAAGACAAAAGAUAUUGUACGCCUCGAGUUGAUCUGUGCAAUGGUCCAAUGAUAUCCAUCGACCACCUCAUAAACGGGUAUUGGGCAGAGAUAGAAAAGAAUAACUCCAAAGAUUGAUGGAUUAGAGGUGCAUGAAGUUGGCAACGCUUACACAGCUGGGCGUACUUAACACAAUCUGUUAUCAUAGUGGGCCAAUAAUAUCCCAUUCUUUUAAUUUUGAAAGCCAUUGCCCUUCAUGAUGAAUGACUACCACACAGACCUUCAUGCACUUCGCUCAUGACAAUUUUGACUUCGAGCCCAAAGAUGCAUAGUAGGUAAGGGUCGCUGACACCUCGCUUAUAUAAUGCGUCCUUUGACAAACAAAAUUUUGCGCUAACGAUUCUCAUUUUCCUGGCCUGCCACUUAUUUUUUGGGAGCUUGCCUGUCACAAUGUAAUGUUUUAUUGUCUCCCUCCAAUCAGUCUCCCAAUCUUUAGCCUGAAUUUGGUCAACCUCGUGAAAUAUUCUUGGUUCCGGUUUGGGAUGCUCGUUUAGCUCAAGUAUAUCCUCCUCGAUAAGUGGCUCGGUCUCUAUAACCGUUUCUGGAACUGCGUCUUCUGUCAGGUCAAUAGGCUCCUCGCUACUAUUUUCUUUAGAUGUGCCAGACUCAAAUAUGGUUGAACCUUUUGACUUCCUCCACUUUAUGGAAGUAAUUCUAUUCUCAGGCUCACCAAGCUCACGCGCCGCAGCUCGAGACCUUGUAAUGACGAGGGUCCUUUUUUCCUCCUUAAUGUUCUAUUCUGAAAUGCAUUCUACUGGAGUGACUCUUUUUACCAAAGGAUCUGACGUUGACGCCAGCGUGGCAAGUGCGUCCGCGGUUGUAUUUUCUCCUCGAGGUAUGCGAAUGAGUUCAAAUUUGAGAUAUGCUUCCAUUCUUGAAUCUUUGGUUUUGUAAUAUCCAUUGAACUGGUUAACAACCAGUUGUGAAUCACAAUAAGCGAUCAAUUCUUUAGCUCCAACUCCUUGUGCCAACCUAAGUCCAGCGAUUAGAGCUUCAUAUUCUGCCUCAUUGUUAGAAGCAUUGAAUAGCAAACAGAAUGAUUGCUCAAGAAUUUCCGAUGUGGGAGAUUCCAACUUGAUUCCCACUCCUGUUUUGAUGAACAUCUAUCUACAUGCAACUUCCAAGUUUCAUUUUGUGGUUGCUCCGGCGCGCCAAGUACUGGUAGUUUGGUCAGGAUAUCUGCCAAAACUUGGGCCUUCAUGCUGACUCGGCUUUUGUACUCUAUAUCAUACUCACUUAGCUCCACUACCCACUUCGCCAAUCUUCCGGACUGACUUGGACUAUGAAGAAUUGUUCGAAGUGAAUGAUUGGUUAAUACUUCGAUCGGAUGAGAUUGGAAAUAUGGACGCAACUUUCGGGCAGAAGUUACAACCGCAAGUGCGAGUUUUUCCAUCAUUGUAUAUCUAGUUUCUGGAUUUGUCAUGGACUUACUUACGUAGUAAAUCGGCUUCUGUUCUCCGCGAUCCUCCCGUAUCAAGACUCCACUAACUGCAAGGUUCAACACUGAAACGUACAAAUAGAGCUUUUCAUCCACUUCGCGCUUGGACAGUACGGGUAGAGUUGUUAGGUAUGCCUUAAGCUGUCCAAAUGCCUCUUCACAUUUCUCAUCCCAAAGGAAUCCUUUGUUUCCUUUUAGAAUUUGAUAAAAGGGUAUAGAUUUAUCUGUUGAUAUUGAAAUAAAACGGUUUAGAGCUGCAAUCCGACCCGUUAACCGUUGCACUUCUUUGAAAUUUUUUGGAGACGGCAUGUUGAGAAAAACAUUGAUUUGGUUCGUAUUGGCUUCAAUUCCCCUUUUUGUCACAAUAUAACCAAGGAAUUCCCAGGAUGGAACUCCGAACGUGCAUUUUGUCGGGUUCAGCUUCAUUUGGUAUUGAUUGAGAAUUUCAAAACAUUCUUCUAAAUGCUUAAUGUGGUCCUUUUUCUUUAACAACUUGACCAACAUAUCAUCUUUGUAAACUUCCAUAGUCUUCCCAAGAUGUUCGUGGAACAUUUUGUUGACCAAUCGUUGGUAAGUAGCUCCUGCAUUUUUUAAACCAAAAAGCAUUACUUUAUAACAUUAAAUACCUCUAUCCGUGAUAAACGAUGUUUACUCCUGAUCUUCGGGAUUCAUCAUUAUUUGAUUAUAACCCGAGAAGGCAUCCUAAAAGUUAGUAACUCGUUCCCAGCGGUAGAUUCCACAAGACUCUAUAUGCAGAAGCGGGAAACUAUCCUUCGGGCAGGCUUUAUUGAGGUCUGUGAAGUCGAUGCACACUCUGUCUUUUCCAUUCUUCUUCUUGACCACAAUAGAGUUUGCUACCCAAUCUGGGUAUGGCACCUCCCUUAUAGACCCUAUCUUUAAAAGUUUAUCUACUUCGUCAUUUACCGCCUUUGCUCGUUCCACUCCGAGUUUUCUUCUUUUUGGUUUUACAGGCUUGAAUCUCUGAUCCACGUUUAGCUCGUGGCAGAUUAUGCUUGGAUCUAUGCCACGCAUAUCCGCUGCUGACCACGCAAACGAUGCUUUAUUUUUGUUCAAAAGUUCUAUUAUGGCUUCUUUUAAUUUGUCGGUUGAUAUGAUUCAAACUACCUAGAACUACUCUCUCAAAUAAGAGAUCAAUUGCAGUAUUUUAGGAUCGAUUUCACGGAGUUCUUUUGUUCAAACAGUGAGUUAAAUGUCGAGAUUAAGCUAGCAGGGUGUGAGUGA